UUGACUCUGGGAAAUGCGAGAAAUCUUGGGCCAGUCGGGCAAGUGCUUCUUUUAAUUUAGAACGCACCGGUAAAAUUUGGAUUGGCUUCCCUACUGCCAAUAGAUACUUGAGAUUCCGACAACGGUGAAUAGAUAGAUGGUCGAUUCAUGAAAGGUUCCGUCAUCACUCUGGUAAGAGCCUUUUCAAUCAUAUAAUACUGCAGAAAGCGAGAGUGAACGAAGAAUUUUGAACAAAAUAUACAUGGAUAAUUGAUUGGCUCCAAAAAUAAGGGCUCCAAAAAUAAAAACUACCUCAGAUCUGGAAUGUGAGAAAUCUUUGGCCAUUCUGGGCCGCUGUCCUUGGCGCAUCUUUCUUCCAGACGGGGACACCGUCCAAUCAGUAGCUCAUGUAAUUUGGGCAUAGCUUCGACCGUAGGCAGAUACAUCAGGUUCUUACAUUUCCGAAUCGACAACUUAGUAAGAGAUGUGAGGUUGCCCAACCACUCUGGAAGAGCCUCCAGACCAUCGAAUUUCCGAAUUUCCAACUUAGUUAGAGAAGCAGAGUGUUGAAUUUGCGGAGGCAGAGACUUGAGCUUAGGCCACCCGUACAAUCUUAAUUCUUCAAGUUUCGAUGGGACCUGAAUAUCCGGGAAAGAAUCGAGCUCUUGGCAGAAGGCACCGAUCCACAACACUUUCAAACGAGAUAGAGAGUGCAGCCCCUUGGGCAAAUAUUGCAAUUUCCCACAAAAAGAUAAUUGUAAAGAGGAAAGAAAUUGCAAGCUGGACACAUUUUGAUCCGCCAGAGAUAUCAAAUUGGAGCAUUCACUAACAAGCAAAUGGGUAAGAGAUGUGCAGUAUGCAAGCCCACUCGGUAGACUUAUUAAUCCAUCACAUCUCAUAAUAUUCAAUAUAGUGAGGGAUGUGAGGUUGUCUAAACUGGGAAUAGCCUCUAGAUUAGGGCAUUCCCAUAUUUCCAUCUUCUCAAGAGAGACGGGGGUUUGUACUUGUAGCCCAUGACCCGACAAAGUCCUCAAAUUUUGACAAUCCCAGAUACUCAGUUUGCGAAGAGUAGUACAAGAAUGGAGCCCACUCAAUAUACUUGUGAAUCCAUCGUAGUAUUUAAUUGUCAAUUCACAUAGGAAUGUGCAACCAUUUAAAGACAAGUCCCCCUCGAGAGUAGUGCAUCUCUCAAUAACCAAAUCACGGAGUGAGGGCAUACACUGAAUUGAAGUGCAUCUUAGCUUUGGGCAAUUAACUAUUUUCAACUCCUGAAGAGAUUGGGAUGGUGAAUUUGGAAGGAUUCUAGAUCGCCGCAAUCCUCAAUUUUCACCAUCUCAAGUGAGGGGCAAUAUUCUAACCCACAACACAAGCUCGACAAUUUCUCACAUCUCUUAAUUCUCAAUUGACGGAGAUUGGUUACUCGACAAUUUCUCAUCAUCCAAGAUGCAAAUUUAGUACCAUUGAAUUCCUUAAUCGUCAAGCUUUCUAAGUUGGGGUGCGGUUGGAGUCCUUCGAGAAUAUCCUCGUUAAGAAAAUUGCCAUUUUUUUCUUCAGGAGGGACCCAACUCCAUUUUAAUAUCAAUUUUCGUAGGUUUGCCUUUUCCACUAAUUUUGAUUUUAUUGCUUCUUCCUUGUCUCUCACAAAAUCCAAUGAUCCAAUAACUAGUUCCCCUUUCAGUUCAUUUAGCCCACCUAGCUCAUCAAGUCUAUGACGCCUUGCUCUAUCCAAUUUAAAAGAAGGUAGCAUUUGCAGAUGAGUCAAUCUUUUCAUCCCAAAUGGAACUUCCUUAUCCUUAUCAAAAUAAACAUGUCUCAAGUUGAUCAAAUUUUCCAUUUCCCUAGGAAACGUUUUAAGAUUGUCUGUAUUUGACAUUCUUAACGUCUGAAGAUUAUAGAGCUUGCCCAUAGAUUUGGGGAGUGCUUUUAAUUUUGUACUUGAAAUAUUGAGAUACCUCAAGCGUUUCAACUUUCCAAUUGAGAUGGGCAACUCCUCUAUUACAGCCAUGUAUAAAUUCAAUGUCCGUAAAUCUCUGAACCUUUCAAACAUGUUACUGAACUCAAAGCGUCGUGGAGGAAACAAUGAUAGCAAUCUCCUAACGCUUCCUUGUAGAAAUCUUUCAAGUGUCGUGGAAGAAAUCCGGGCAACAUGCUGAAUCUCAAGUGCUCCAUCGUCCAUCCGAUCCAAGUCUCGUGUCAAGCUUUCAAAUUUGAAUACUUCCUCAGCAAGAUCAUGCACAAGAUCGUGCAUCUUGCAUUUGGUAUUCCCAUACUCAUCUUCUCUUUCUCUUCUAUGUGCAUACUGAUAGUUUCUAGCAUAUUGAAAUAAAGAGUUUUGCAAUAGAAUAUUAAAAUAUUCAUUACCUUUAUCCUCCAUGGGAGAAGAAUGGAGAUAUCCUUGAGCCAUCCAGAGUUGGACCAAGUCAUCUUUUUCAAUCUCACAAUCUUUUUCAAACAUUGAGCAAUAUGCAAAACAUUGCUUCAAUGAUGGCUCUCUUAAAUUAUCAAAACUCAACUUCAAGAUCGGCAUGAUUCGGUCCUCUCGAUCUGGUAAUUCCCAUAUUUUACUUUCUAGAAUUGACGACCAUUCCUGUGAAUGCAUCAAGCUUCCUAAAACCUGUUGAUACAUAAGAUAAUUAGUUUCUAUAUGUUGUAGAAUAAUAAAACCUGAUUAGCAAAAUAAUAACAGUGCCAAAUUUUAGUUUUAUUGAAUUUUGACUAACAUUAUUGGCAAGAUAAUGACGCAUUGAACUCAACUUUGUUUUGUAUCGAUGAAAAGUGAAAGACUGCUCCUGUUAGAAGAGAAAUACUAAAGGGACUUGCUAGCCAAGUAAGAAUUGGUUUCAGAAUUAAUUGAAAGAUACUUUAUUAGAUCAGUUAAAUAUAAGUUUUAAUUUUUUUUUAGUACAUCAAUAUGUUUUUAUAUUAAAGGGAGGGAGAGUUCGGCUAAACCACAUAAUGGAUAACAUAAUUUGGUAUCGAAUUCACCAUCCACAAGAUUUGAACCUAAGACCUCUCACUUUCAAGUGAAGAGAAAUACCAUGAUACUGUAGUAUUGGAGCUAUAAGUUUCAAUUAGAUACUUAUGAUAACUGGGUAAUUGAAUGGUUUGUAACAAUGCACUAGGAAGGUAGUAUUUUGAAGGAGCGCUUUGAUCCACAUUUUCUACUUUGACAUGUAUAUAUAAGGUUAAGCUUCGGAGACACUCAUUUUUGAAACAUAUUUUAACACAAGUUUUCGUGGCUUUCAUUCUAUAAUUUUUUUUUUUCAAGGAUCUCAAUCAUUUAUAUUUCAAUUCAUCAUUCAUAAAUCUUUCUUGUAAAAAAUUAGAAAAAUCCAAACUCAUUUUGACAUUUAUUUGUAGUGAAGGAAAAAGCCGAUAUGAUUCUACAAAGAUACACUAAAUUUACGCAAUUGCGCGAUGAGCACAAAGUGAACUAUUCUUUCGCCUUUUACUAAAGAAACACUAAAUUUGAUCCAAUGGUUUUUUUGGUAGAGAUGAUAUUUUAGGGAAGACGUCAAAUAUAAGACGGUUUAAUUGUUGAAAUACAUUAAACACACAAUAUAUAUAUAUAUAUAUAUAUAUAUAUAUAUAUAUAUAUAUUGGUUUUAAGGGAAGGUAUCCACAUUUUUUUUAUAAAAUUAGGGAUCUGUUGUGGGGCCCACACCACAUCGAAUUUUAACGAUCCGAACCGUCUAUUUUUUAAGUUGCACCUCAAAGAUCAUCCUUGCAAAAUAUUAGCCAAAUUGGAAAUAUUUAAGACAUCUAAAUGGGUUCAAAGAAAUUAACGAAUACUUGUUAUAUAAAAAACAACGAAAUUUUAUCUUGAUAAUUAAAUAGGCAAAUGAUUUCAGAUUGAAUUGAAUUGUUGCAAGAAUGAUCUAUGAAUCGAGACUUACAAAAUAGACUAUUUAGAUCAUUGAAGUUCGAUGUGAAGUGGCCUACGGAUUGUGUCAAAAAAUGUGUCUCCCAAUCCUAAUCCAUAUAUAUAUAUAUAUAUAUAUAUAUAUAUAUAUUAUAUAAACAAAAUUGACCCUUUAAAGCUCACUAUUAUGUUUUUCAUGCAAUUUUCCUUUAAAAAUGUUGGACAAAAUUAGAUAUACCAAGUUAAGGCUUUUUAUAAUGGCGAUUAUGUUGAAUAUUUAAUCAUACUUAUAUUACUAACGUAUAGUGAUAUUUUUUUUACCUGUAACUGAAGGGUCUUAAGUUUGACUCAUAUGAAUGGUGAUGACACAUUAUAUUUAUUUGAGUUUGAGAUCUAGUAAUGACUAAUCCAUUAUAUGGCCUAGCCCAAUUAAACUUAGGGGGAGUCUAUCCAGGAGUCUCACUUGACCUUAAUAUAUUCUUUUUCCCAAUAGUUUGAAGCAUUUUUUCCUUUAAGUUUUUGCUACCUAAUAAGGUUUUAAUGAGACACCCAUCUUGGGAUUGUCAUACCCUUGUGUGCGUCCUUUUAGACGUUUAAUCUUUACUUUGCAUUAACUCAUAUUUCUCCUUAAGACUUAUUUUCAUAUGCAAGUUCCUUAUUUAAAACUAGCAUGUUUCUCUAUCAGUGCCUACGAGACGACUUCAUACUAUUUUUACAAAUCUGAUGCAAUAUCUACUUGAGUAUUUACACACUCAAGGGGGAGUGUUGUAAUUAAUAUUUGACAUUGUGUGUGUUUGUACCAUACUUGACCAAUCCCGAAACUACUGAGCAUCGGUCAACGUUAUAGCGUCAAGGACCCAAAAGAGUUUCCCUCCAACCAGAAGGUCAAUCACAGCGAGACACGUGUUGACAUCAGAAGCCAAUCAUAGCGCGACACGUGUCAACAUCAGAAGCCAAUCACACGUGUCAAUGUCAGAAUGAAACUAGAAACUCUCUUCUAUAAAUAGAGAUCAUUCUCUCACAAUAUUUCCUAAUGUCAUUUGUACUAAAUCAUUCACUUGUACUCACUAAAGGAGAGCUUGAACCUAUGUACUUGUGUAAACCCUUCACAAUUAAUGAGAACUCAUCUACUCCGUGGACGUAGCCAAUCUGGGUGAACCACGUACAUCUUGUGUUUGCUUCCCUGUCUCUAUCCAUUUACAUACUUAUCCACACUAGUGACCGGAGCAAUCUAGCGAAGGUCACAAACUUUACAUUUUCUGUUGUACCAAAGUCCUUACUGAUUUUGUGCAUCAACAUUUGGCGCCGUCUGUGGGAACGACACUUAUUCCCAUUCUCUUCAGCUUUGCCAAGCUGGUUUCCACCAUUCGUACACUCUCUUUUGACCAGGCAUCCCUCUCCAACAUGGGGAGCAAAGGAAGCCAGAGCACACAGAAUGACACCCAUCUUGCACCUAGUGCAAAGCAACGAAAGAAGGAAGGAAAUAAGGCUACUCUUCAAGCUAAAGUCGAUGAGCUAGAAGCUCAGAACAACAAGAUAGCAAUGAAGAAUGAGAUCCUCCGGGAGCAGUAUGAGAAGCUUUUUUAGACGCUCCACGAAACUAGGCAUACUCAAACACGCGAGCUCGUUGCCCCUGUAGACAUCAACCAUCAUCUGGGUGCCCCCCAACAUGGAGGGUAACCUCCCUUCGACAUGGGUAUCCCUGAUGAGGAGCGAGCUAAUCAUCAAAACAUUGAUCAACAUGAGACUUCUCUCAACCAGAUGCUUCGACCCAAAGUAGAAGAAGUGGAGGAAGAUACCUCCUUGCAGAAGGGUUGGAACUUAUCAAUCUCUAACCAACGAGACAAGGCACUUGCAAUUCCAAGGAAUUAAAAUCCUAACUAUCAAACCUCUGUUUGGAAUGCCCUAGCUCCUUGAGUUGACGAUGGAGAAAGUAUUUUAACCGCAACUUGAGUGCCAUCUUCCAAGUAGCCAUGGUAUACAAUCCCAAAUCCUCCUUUCCCAAUUUCAGUUUGAAAGUUUUUGGUGAUUUUUAAAACCUCGUCACAAGUAAACUGGGACUUCAUUGAUGCUACUGGUGUGCUACAUGUGUUUUGUUAUGUUUCUCCAUCUGCAGCUUAAGGACAAAAAGUUAUGAGUUCUAACUGGAUAGGAAUACCACUACGCCAUAGUAGCAGCGCUAUUUCUAACUAUAUAAUUAUCAAGGGCAUAAAAUGGCACCUGGUUUUCUUAUUCUUCUCAGCUUCCAGACCAGUAAGAGCACUAUAACUUGAAGGAGGGCCAUUGUUGAAAGUAAUGAUCCAAGUAUUGGAACAACAAUGUUCUUCUUGCACUUGCUUGAAUCUGAGCUAAAAAGAACUUAUCAGCAGAUAGAAAAUAUAAAUCUGAAGGACGCAAUACCAUUUGCUUUCGUUAAAGAAAAUGCUAACCUAUUCAGCACUCUCCAUGAACGAAACUUGCACAGAGCAGUAGGACGAGGAAACCAGUUGAGAUCUUCAUCUGUCUCAUUGCAGCCUAUGAACUACCUGGUAUUUAAAAUGUGUGACAAUGUCCUGACCAAAAAAACAGAAAAACAUAUAUGACAGUGUUGAUUUGUAAUCUCAUGCUGCACAACUUGCAGAGUACAUACAUGAUCCUUUACAUGGGGAUGCUUAGUCUACGUCAAUCAAUGGAUCAUGCAAUGUUCAUACUAAGAGAGCAAUUUGGUCAACCCAACGUAUUUUCUAGUCAAAGCAUUUAAAACAUUGUUCCUAUUAGGGUUAUGUGGUGUGAUACAAGUCAGGGAGAUAACCCGAAGUAUUAGACAAAAGUGAUUAAGUCGAGGACAAUAUAGAUGCAUACUUGUAUUUAGCCUAGACUGAUUCACUGCACAACAGAUCCCAACCCCAUUUUUAACCCACCAAGUUUUGAACAUGGGAUGAACGAGAGAGUUUGUAGCUACCUAGCAUGCUGCUGUCAUGGAACGUGCAUUUGUGGAAUCUGAACAUCUGGAAAUCACUCUAGGUGAACUCUGGUAUUGUGAGAUCAUAACAAGAGUUUCUUCAUUUGAGCCUGGAGUUCUUUCUCGAUGCUUAGACACCUCCAUUACAUACAUUUUAUUAGUUGGCACAGCACAAAACCAACCAUGGUGGCUCUAUGUUGGGAGGUGGAAGUUGUGCAUGCCAUUGCUGUCUUUAAUGAUUUCCUGACCGAAUUCACAUCGAACUUUCUUUGAAUCCUUCGAUCCAAAUUAGUUGUUAAAUCACCAUUCUGGAACUCAGAAUUCACCCACUCCACGAUGCAGACAAGAUCAUCACUUUCUAUGAUUGCAGCCUUGCAGGUUGGCCCGUAAAACUCUAAAAUUCAACCUUUGAUAAUUAUAGUACCUGCAGACAAUAAAAAGUAAUCAUAAAUAAACCACUCACUGUUCAUACAUUUGUAUUUAUAACAUGAUAAACAAUCUAAUAGAACACAGAAAUUUGAAUAUACUCGCAAUCAAGAUAACCCGCUCUGCCCAUGACCUAUGUCACCACACGAGUCCCAUUAUCACUGGAAAAAACCACAGACAGACCGAAACCUGCUCUUUUCGCAUCCAAGUUUUCGUUGUACUGUGCUUGCUCUCCCCUCUUAAUGCAAUUCUUCUAUUGGAUUCCCUUCUUGAGUGUAGCUGAAAUACAAAUCCAAUUUAUCUGUGAUUAACGUAUUCUAGAUAACUCGACAUGAUUUUAUUCAAGGAUGAAAGACCGAAGAAAGAAGGUGUAUAUUGGCUAAACAGACUACCUUACACAAAACUGGUCUCAUAAAAUUGUAUCUGCACCAUAACACCAUGUGGAAGAUGUCUUAGAACAUAUUCGAAUGCACAUUGGACGUUAUAACAUAUACAGAAUGACCACGGAUUCGUAAACAGUUGCAAAUGUACUUCUAUUAACUCAUAUUUAAGGACUAAAAAGCUUAAUCUCCACAAAAGUCUAAAGUGUUGUUCCAAAAAGAUUGUGAAAGCAAAGAAAUUAAUGUUCUUCCAUGAGGCUAGAAAGUGUAUGAUUUUGCAAACUAAAUGCAACUAAGACAAGAGAACAGAACCAAUCACGAAUUACUGUUUCGGGAAAGAAACUUACACUUGACUGUCAGAAAUGCAAGAAAUCUUGGGCCAGUUGAGCAGGUUACUUCUUUUAAUUUAGAACACAACAGUAAAAUGUAGACUGGCUUUCCUACUGUCGACAGAUACUUCAGGUUCCAACAACGGUGAGUAGAUAGAUCGUCGACACAUGAAAGGUUCCGUCAUCACUCUGGUAAGACCCUUCUGAAUCAUCCAGUGCCAUUGUUGAUGGUAAUGAUCCAAGUAUUGGAACAACAAUAUUCUUCUUGAGCUUGCUUGAAUCUAAUCUAAAAAUAACUUAUCAGCAGAUACAACAACAACAACAACAACAACAAAGCCUUUUCCCACUAAGUGGGGUCGGCUAAAAAUAACUUAUCAGCAGAUAGAAAAUAUAAAUCUGAAGGACGCAACGCCAUUCACAAAACUUGCCCAGAGCAGCAGGACGAGGAAACCAGUUGAGAUCUUCAUCUCUCUGUCUCAUUGCAGCCUAUGAACUACCAGGUAUUUAAAACGCAUGACAAUAUCCCGGCCAAAAAAAUUGAAAAACGUAUAUGAGUGCGAAUGAUCCUUAUUACAUGGGGAUGCUUAGUGUACGUCAAUCAAAAUGCAAUGUUCAUACUAGAGCAAUUUGGUCAAGCCAACGUAUUUUCUAGUCAAAGCAUUUCAAACAAUGUUCCUGUUAGGGUUAUGUGCUGUGAUACAACCCGAAGUAUUGGACAAAAGUGAUUAAGUUGAGUACAAUAUAGAUACAUAUUAUUAUGUAGCCUACACUGAUUCACUACAUAACAGAUCCCACACCCAUUUUUAACCCACCCAGUUUUGAACAUGGGAUGAAUGAGAGUUUGUAGCUACCUAGCUAUUAAGGGUGAAAAUGUAAUACAAUUAGUAAUAUAAUUAGGUAGUUAGUAUUUGGUUAAAGUAGUUAGGAUUUCUAUAUAAACAGUAUGUGUAAUCUUCAUUUGAGUUAGUUAAUACAAAUCCUAUUUCUCUCUCUAAACUCUCUGUCUCUCAAACUCUCUGUAUUGAUCUUUCUUCUCUUCAUCUUUCUUGUUGAUUUUCUUUCAAUUCCCAAAUAUUACAAUGUAGUUAAUAUGGUAUCAGAGCCACCAGGCUCACGCCAUGGAUUCUGGUGGUUUCACUUCCCAUUAUUUUACAUUUGGUUCUAGCUUAGUUCUAUCCAAAUUUUCAUUAGAUGUUAGGAAUUACGAUAAGUUUCUGGGUGCUUCCACGAUCGUUCUUUUACUUCUGGGUUGAUGUGUUUCUGGGUUGAUUUCUUUCUGAUCAAAUUCAUGAGUCUAUUCCCGAUCGAAAGCGAGAGAUCGAAAGUUGGAGAAAAUUUCAAAGCAAAAUGGUGGCAGAGCAAAUGCAGAGAGUAGCAUCUCCACCGUCGCAAUCGAUUGAGGCGCCGAAGAAGAAUAGAAUUCAGGUCUCCAACAAUAAGAAACCGCUCUUCUCGUUAAUCUUGCUAAGAGGUACAUAAAGCAGUACUAGGAGACUCAGUAUUCUGGGUCCGAUUGCGGAGGUUUCUUUGAUAUCUUGAUCAUGGCGGUUGGGCAACUCUUGGCGUUUGCACUACUUGCCUGGUAAUGUUGCUUUUCCGAUUCAGUUGCUUAAUUUCAUUAUUGGGUAACUUGAUUUGUUGAUUCUUGGAGGGUUCUUAGAGAUCUUUGAUCAGAACAGUGGACUGUGAAUUGGGUUCAAUUACUUGCUUUGAUUAGUAGAUGACUAGCACAGUUUUUCGAUUCAAGGAGGUGGUGUUGCUAAUUCCUUAAUUGGGUAUAUGAAGAAACAGUUGUUAAUUACUUAAUUGGUAAUUCUGAUUCUUGAAGAUGGUUUUGGGGAUUCAAUUUGUUCAGUUUGGACUGUUGCUCAAAGAAAGUACUGUUUUAUAAUCUGUUUUUGUAUAGGAAAUGGUUGUUGUUUGUUCAAGAUUGCAAAUCUUGGGAGCUCUUCAGGUUAUGAUUAUGUGCACUCCAACUGUUUGAAGGAAUGGGUCAGUAAAUUCUUUGAUCUCUACUCUGUUCUCUGGUAUGGAAGAAAGAUCAGACAUGGGUGCAGUCCAGGUGUUUGUUGAAAUGCCCAACUCAAACGUUUCAUGUGAAGUCUUUGUGGUAGUCUUAGCUGAACUUUUGUGGGAUCAAUUAAAAACCAAAAGGACUCAUUCUAGAAGCUCGUCAAAAGUGCAACAACCAUUUAGUUCUUGGUUCAUGGAUGAUCUUCUUGCAUUUUUUGAUAGAUCGGAAGAUACGACAAAUGAAUGUAUAGUAUGUGUUGUCAUUUACAACAUUGAUGGACCUGGACUAAGGGAAUCAGAAACCCAACAGUGUCUUGCAUGAGUUGUUUCUUGUUCUUAUAUUUGCAUUUUGGCCUCUAUAUGACAGCAUGUUUAGUGCACUGUGAAGUGGGAUGUCCUCCGAAUGUGAGCUCAUACAACACCAUGUUUAGUGCAUUGUGGAACUGUGGAGACAGAGUUUGAGCUUCGCAAAUGGUAUCAGAAAUGUUAAGCAAAGGAAUAGAUCCCGAUGGGAUUACUUACAAUUCGUUUACAUCGUGUUUGUGCAGUAUAUUUUCUUAUCUCAGCCUAUAAUUUCAUAGUCUAACCAACUCAGUUGUUAGCAUGAAUCUACAGUAAGUCCGGUUAUACGAUGAAGGAAGUUGUGAACGGUCAAUCCCACGAAGGGUAAUUCCGUGAUGUGAAUAGGUAAAUCCCACGAAAGGUAGAAGUUGUUAACGGUAAAUCCCACAAAGGGUAAUUCCGUGAUGUGAGUAGGUAAAUCCCACGAAGGGUAAUCCUACAUAGAUGUUGAUUUUCAAUUGUGAAGGCCGAUGCCAUUGUUCAAAGAAGUUGUUUUUUGGUAAAAUCCACAAAGGGCGAUCCCGUGGUGCUAUAGUUAAGGCCGAUGCCAUUGUUCAAAGAAGUUGUUUUUUGGUAAAAUCCACAAAGGGCGAUCCCGUGGUGCUAUAGUUAAGGCCGAUGCCACACUAUAGUUUGUUAAUUUUCUGUUUUUGUAAAUAUUAAAGGCCGAAGCCAAGUUGAAUGAGAUUGUUGACGGUGAAUCCCAUGAAGGGUAAUCCCGUAAGAAAUUGUUAUAACCGGCAUGAGGGUGUGCUACGACUCCUUUAUAGAAGGUUGUUCUUUGUGAAGAUACUGUUAGAGGCAGGGGAAGGAUGUCAUGAUUUCGGUCCACUGGUUGGAGUCAGAAGCUGGAAAUAGCAAGAUGAACAACUUCAUUAUUACACACUACUCCAAACUGCAAGUGACAGAGCAAUGGAACAUUAUUUGCCCAGAUCAAGUUGAAUGAGUUGAAAUUGGACACAGUUUGAUAACAUUUGAAGCAGAGAAGAUACUCAUUUUUGCCAUUUUACACACCCAUGAUGGAACAGUUGUUUUCUUGUUCUUUUUAUAAGAUGAAGUUGUUGAUGUCUGAUUAAAGUACUUUGAAAAUUGCUUUCAACUUUUGGAAGAUUGGUGCACCCAAACAUGGGGAAUUGGGUUACUCUUCCUUAGCGCCAUUGAUCGGUCUGCUCCAAUCUCAAUAUGAGUUUCCCCAGUUGAGAUUGAGGGGGAGUAUUAAGGGUGAAAAUGUAAUACAGUUAGUAAUAUAGUUAGGUAGUUAGUAUUUGGUUAAAGUAGUCAGGAUUUCUAUAUAAACAGUAUGUGUAAUCUUCAUUUGAGUUAGUUAAUACAAAUCCUAUUUCUCUCUCUAAACUCUCUGUCUCUCAAACUCUCUGUAUUGAUCUUUCUUCUCUUCAUCUUUCUUGUUGAUUUUCUUUCAAUUCCCAAAUAUUACAAUGUAGUUAAUACUAGCAUGGUGCAGUCAUGGAACCUGCAUUUGUGGAAUCUGAACAUCUGGAAAUCACUCUAGGUGAACUAUGGUAUGGUGAAAUCGUAACACGAGUUUAUUCAUUUGAGCCUGGAGUUCUUUCUGGAUGCCUAGGCACCUCCAUUUCCAAACGUUGUGUUAGUUGACAUGACACUGCACAAAACUCAUGCUGCAGACCAAAAAAAGUAAUCAUACACCACUAACUGUUCUUACAUUUGUAUCCAUAACAUGAUAAAAAAUCUAAACCACGAACAAAUCAAGAUAACCCGCUGUGCCCAUGAUUGAUGUCACCACACAAGUCCCAUUAUCACUGGAAAAAACGAUGGACAUGCUCAAAUCUGCUAUUUUCGAGUCCAAGUUUUCGUUGCGCUGGGAUUGCCUCCUCUCUUAAUGCAAUUCUCUUGCUGGAUUCCCUUCUUAAGUAAGCUGAAAUACAAAUCAAUUUAUCUGUGAUUAACGUAUUUUACAUAACUUGACAUGAUCUUAUUCGAGGAUGAAAGAUGGAAGAAAGAAGUUACAUUUUAACUAAACAUAUUACCUUCCAUAAAAUUGGUAUAAUAAAACUGUGUUCGUUGGGUGAACCCACUGCCGUAGAUACUUGAGAUUCCCACAGCUCUGAAUAGAUAGUUCGUCCACACACGAAAGGUUCCGUCAUCACUCUGGCAAGAGCCUUUUGAAUCAUCAAGUGACAAUGCUUCCGAUUCUUCACCCGACUAAUAUCCCGUUUAUUGCAGAAAACGAGAGUGAGUGAACAAUAUUGGACAAAAUAUACAUGGAUAAUUGAUUGCAAAUAAAAAUAAGGGCUCCAAAAUAAAAAUUACCUUUGACAACUGGAAUGUGAUAAAUCUUUGGCUAUUCUGGGCCGUCCCUAGCGCAUCUUUCUUGGAGACGGGGACACCAUCGGAUCUCUAGCUUAUGUAAUUUGGUUAGGCGUUGCAUAGCUUCGACCGCAGGCAGAAACAUCAGAUUCUUACAAUAGGAAAUUUCCAACUUUGUAAGAGAUGUAAGGUUGCCCAACCACUCUGGAAGAGCCUCCACACCAUGGAACUUAUAAAUGGACAAAGAUGUUAGACAAGUAGAGUGUUGAAUUGGCUGAGGCAGAGACUUGAGCUUAGGCCACCCGUAUAAUAUUAAUUUUUCCGAUGGGACCUGAAGAUCCGGGAAAGAAUCGAGCUGCUUGCAGAACUUACCGAUCCACAACCUUUUCAAACCAGAUAGAGAGUGCAGCCCCUUGGGCAAAUAUUGUAAUUUCCGACAAUUAGAUACAGAUAGAGAGGAAAGAGAUUGCAAGCUGGACAAAUUGUGAUCUGCUAGAGAUAUCAAAUUGUGGCAACCAUCGACAUACAAACUGGUAAGAGAUAUGCAGGAUGCAAGCCCACUCGGUAUACUUGUUAAUCGACCGCAAUCCACAAUCUGCAACUCAGUGAGGGAUGUAAGGUUGUCUAUACUGGGAAUAGCCUCUAGAUCAGGGCAUUCGCUGAUAAUUAGAACUUCAAGUGAGACGGGGGUUUGUAGCCCAUGACCCGACAACGUCCUCAAAUUUGGACAAUGCCAAAUACUUAGGGGGGUGUAUUCAAUUGAGAAUGUGAGAGAUUUUAAUGGAUUUAUAAAUCUAUGGAUUUUUAUGGAGUUUAAUUGAUUUGUAGAGAUUCCAUAUAAAAUUUUGAUUCAAUUCCCUCGAAAUCUCAUGGGAAGAGGUGAGAUUUGUGGUUACUUAAAAUACACUAUGAAAUCUCUCCAAUUCCCUCUAAUUCCUCGACUUUCUCAAAUUCUUUAAAAUCAAUUUCUAAUUGAAUACAUCUGGAAUGUUAUAAACUUCUUUAAAAUCUUAAUUGAAUACACCUGGAUUUCUAAGGAUUUUAAUAAACUAUUUAAAAAUUCUAAUUGAAUACACCUAGAAUUUCAGAGAAUCCCUUAAAAUCCUGAUUGAAUACCCCUAGAUUCAUUAAAAGAAUUAAAAUCCCUUAAAAUCCCAAUUGAAUACACCCCCUUAGUGUGCGAAGACUAGUACAAGAAUGGCGCCCACUCAGUAUACUUUUGAAUCCAUUGCAAUUUUCAAUAAACAAAUCAUGGAGGGAUGUGCAACCGUUUAAAGACAAGUCAUCCUCCUCCUCCUCCGGUAAGAAAUCUACCGACUUCUCAAUUCACAAAAGACGGAGUGAGGGCAAACUGUGAAUUGAAGUGCAUCUUAGCUUUCAGCCUCCAACUAUUCUCAACUCCUCCGAUGAGAAACCCGUUCUGCCCAUGACCAAUGUCCCUACACAAGUCUCAUUAUCACUGGAAAAAAAACCAUGGACAGACCGAAAUCUGCUAUUUUUUGCAUCUAAGUUUCCGUUGUGCUGCGCUUGCUCUCCUCUCCUAAUGCAAUUCUCUUACUGGAAUCCCUUCUUAAGUGAGCUGAAAUACAAAUCCAAUUUUAUCUGUGAAGACUGUGAUUAAUGUAUUCUAGAUAACUUGACAUGGUUUUAUUCAAGGAUGAAAGCUUUGAACAAAGAAGUUACAUAUUGACUAAACAUAUUACCUUCCAUAAAAUUGGUCUAAUAAAACUGUGUGAGUUGAGAGGACCUGCACACAGUGAGAAGAAACACAACCUUGUACAAAACUGCGAGAAAUCUUGCGCCAGUCGGGCGGAUUGCUUGUUUUAAUUUAGAAGGCAACAGUAAAAUUUGGAUUGGCUUCCCUACUGCCGAGUGCCGAUAGAUACUUGAGAUUCCCACAACGGUGAAUAGAUAAAUGGUCGAUUCAUGAAAGGUUCCGUCACCACUCUGGUAAGAGCCUUUUCAAUCAUCAAGUGACAAUCAUUCUGCUGUCAAUACUGCAGAAAACGAGAGUGAAUGAAGAAUUUAGAACAAAAGAUACAUGGAUAAUUGAUUGGAGAUAAAAAUGAGCACUCCAAAAAAAAAAAUUACCUCAGAUGUGGAAUGUGAGAAAUCUUUGGCCAUUCUGGGCCGCUGUCCUUGGCGCAUCUUUCUUCCAGACGGGGACACCGUCCAAUCUCUAGAUCAUGUAAUUUGGUUAGGCGUUGCAUAGCUUCGACCGUAGGCAGAUACAUCAGAUUCUUACAUUUCCAAAUUGACAACCGUGUAAGAGAUGUGAGGUUGCCCAACCAUUCUGGAAGAGCCUCCAGACCAUCGAAACAAGAAAUGGACAAACGUGUUAGAGAAGCAGAGUGUUGAAUUUGCUGAGGCAGAGACUGGAGCUUAGGCCACCCGUACAAUCUUAAUUGUUUCGAUGGGACCUGAAAAUCAGGGAAAGAAUCGAGCUCUUGGCAGAAGGCACCGAUAGACAACACUUCCAAACGAGAUAGAGAGUGCAGCCCCUUGGGAAAAUAUUGUAAUUUCCCACAUUCAGAUAAAUAUAAAGAGGAAAGAGAUUGCAAGCUGGACACAUUGUGAUCCGCCAGAGAUAUCAAAUUGUCGCAUGAGUCGACCAGUAAUUUGGUAAGAGAUGUGCAGGAUGCGAGGCCACUUGGUAUACUUGUUAAUCGAUCGCAGUUGCCAAUAGACAAUUCAAGGAGGGAUGUGAGGUUGUCUAAACUGGGAAGAGCCUCCAGAUUACUGCAAUGCUUGAUACUUAGAUGUUCAAGAGAGACGGGGGUUUGUAGCCCAGGACCCGACAAAGUCCUCAAAUUUGGACAUUUAUAAAUAUCCAUUGUGCGAAGACUGGUACAAGAAAGGAGCCCACUCAGUAUACUUUUGAAUCCAUCGCAGUAUCUAAUAAUCAAAUGACGGAGGGAUGUGCAACCGUUUAAAGACAAGUCUUCCUCGAGAGUAGUGCAUCUCUCAAUAACCAAAUCACGGAGUGAGGGCAUAUUCUGAAUUGAAGUGCAUCUUAACUUUGGGCAAUCAACUAUUUUCAACUCCUCAAGAGACUGGGAUGAUGAAAUUUGGAAGGAUUCUAGAUUGCGGCAAUAUUUAAUUUCCACUGUCUCAAGUGAAGGGCAAUAGUCUAACCCACAACACAAGCUCAACAAUUUCUCACAACUCCUAAUUCUCAAUUCACGGAGAUUGGUUACUCGACUGCAUAUAUUUUCUAUUGGCAUGGCGUUAUCAACAUAACGUAUAUCUAACUCCCUGAGAGAUGGAAAAUGAGUGGGAGCACUUGCCAAUCCCCGACAAUGCUCUAUUGUCAACUGCUCAAGGCAGGGAAACACUACUAAGGCUGCUUUCUCACCUGUUGACCUCACUUUCUCAACAACCGCUUCCUUCCAUUCACUUAAUGAUGGGCAAUGGAUAAAUGAUAAGCUUUUCAAUGCUGGAAACAAAGUCACCUCCGUGGCCGCCUCAUCAUUAUUAAUGUAUUUAUAACCAUAAAACUCAACUCCAACACAUUUAAGCUUCUCCAUAUUCUCAAAUAAAAUACGUCUAAGAUUCGGCAAGUGUCCGAGUGGUGGGACUGCUUCACAUUCUACACAACAGCUUAACUCAAUCUCUAUUAAAUUGAUGGGCAACGAAUCGCUCAUCAUCCAUGAUGCAAAUUUAGUACCCUUGAAUUCCUCAAUCCUCAAGCUUUCUAUGUUGGGGUGCGGCUGGAGUCCUUCAAGAAUAUCCUCGUCAAGAAAAUUGCCAUUUCUUUCUUCAGGAGGGACCCACCCCCAUUUUAAUAUCAAUUUUCGUAGGUUUGCCUUUUUCACUAAUUUUGAUUUCAUUGCUUCUUCCUUGUCUCUCACAAAUUCCAAUGAUCCAAUAACUAGUUUCCCUUUCAGUUCAUUUAACCCACCUAGCUCAUCAAGUCUAUGACGCCUUGCUCUAUCCAAUUUAAAAGAAGAUAGUGUUUGCAGAUGAGUCAAUCUUGUCAUUCCAAAUGGAACUUCCACAUCCCCGUCGAAAUAAACAUGUCUCAAGUUGAUCAAAUUUUCCAUUUCCCUAGGAAACGUUUUAAGCCUCCAUGCUCUUAACAUUCUUAACGUUUGAAGAUUAUAGAGCUUGCCAACAGAUUUUGGGAGUUCUUUUAUUCCUGUCCAGGAAAUGUUGAGAUACCUCAAGCGUUUCAACUUUCCAAUUGAAUUGGGCAACUCCUCAAUUUCAGCAUCGAAUAAAUUCAACAUCCGUAAACCUUUAAACCUUUCAAAGAUGUUACCACUAGGGACCUUGCAAUCAACAAACAACGACCGCAAUCUCUUAACACUCCCUUUUGGAAUUCUUUCAAGUGUAGUGGAAGAAAUCCGCGCAACAUGCUGAAUCUCAAGUGCAUCAUCAUCCAUCUGAUCCAAGUCUCGCGUCAAGCUUUCAAAUUUGAAUGCUUUUUCUGCAAGAUCAUGCACCAGAUCGUGCAUCUUGCAAAUGGUAAUACUGUACUCUUCUCUAGCAUCUUGAAAUAAAGAAUUUUGCAAUAGAAUAUUAAAAUAUUCAUUACCUAUAUCCUCCAUACUCACGUUGGUAGAAGAAUGGAGAUAUCCUUGAGCCAUCCAGAGCUGGACCAAGUCAUCUUUUUCAAUUUCAAAAUCUUUCACAAACAUUGAGCAAUAUGCAAAACAUUGCUUCAAUAAUGACGGUGUUAAAUUAUCAAAACUCAACUUCAAGACCGACAUGAUUUUCUCCUCUUCAUUUGGUAAUUCCCAUAUUUUACUUUCUAGAAUUGACGACCAUUCACGCCUGCUAUUUUUAGAACGCAUCAGGCUUCCUAAAACCUGUUGAUAUAUAAGUUAGUUUCUACGUAUUUUAUAAUAUAAAAAGGUGAUUAGCACAAUAAUAAUCCCAAAUUAUAGUUUCAUUGAAUUUUGAAUAGAGUGAUUAGCAAAACAAAGAUGCAUUAAACUCAACUUUGUUUUGUAUAGACCAGAAGUGCAAGAUUGCUCUCCAAUAGUUUUGCUUGUUAGAAGAGAAAUACUACGGAGACUUGCUAGCCAAGUAAGAAUUAGUCUCAGAAUUAAACUCAAAGAUCCUUGAUUAGAUCAUUUAAAUGUGUUAAUUUAAUACUUAUAUGAUAACCGAGUAAUUGAACAGUUUGUAACAAUGCACUAGGAAAGUAGUAUUUUGAAGGAGCGUUUUGAUCCAAAUUUUUUAUAGUGUUCUACAAAGAAACACUAAAUUUAUGCAGCCGCGGGGUGAGCAUAGAGCGAACUAUUCUUUCGCCUUUUACUAAAGAAACGCUAAAUUUGAUCCAACGGUCAUACGACUUCGGAUUUGGGUGAUCUUUUGUAAUGAUCAUUUUGAGGAAACACAAAAAUAGACGGUUAAAUCGUUGAAAUAUACAAACCUAUAUAUAUAUAUAUAUAUAUAUAUAUUAUAAACAAAUUGAUCCUUUAAAAGCUCAUUAUUAUGUUUUUCAUGCAAUUUUCUUACAAAAAUGUUGGGACAAGAUUAAAUUUUACUGAGUUAAGGUUUUUUAUAAUGGCGAUUUUGUUGAAUAUUUAAUCAUACUUAUAUUAGCAAACUAAAAGAUCUUAAGUUCGACUCAUAUGAAUGAGGAUAACUUAUUAUAUUUGUUUGAGUUCGAAACCAUACUCAUACAUGACCCAGCCCAAUUCCCGUUAAGAGUAGAAUAGUAGAAAUCAUAGUCAUACAUUACCCUAAUUCUGCAAACUAAUCCUUUAUGGAGAAAGCCACCAAUCUAUGUCUUCGACUGGCGACCCAUUUUUGUGUGUAAUUAAUGUCUCAUAUUACAAACUUAUCUCUGAACUACUCAUUAAUCUUUUAAUAUCUAUUUUAGGUAAACGUAUUUGACAAAACCAAGAUGUUUUUAUUCCCAUUCAAUUGAUUAAUUCAAUAUGGGAUAUCGGAGUGAUGCUAGAGAGACCAACUACUUCAAUCACACUCAUAGAUCACAUGAUGUGUUAGUUGAUGGUUGGACUUAUUAUUCAAAUCAUUAAAGAAAGAAUCCAACUAUCAACUGCUACAUCAUGCGGUCUACAAAAUAUGGUAUCCCUACUCCCUAGCAUAAAAUUGCAAGAAAACUUGAUAUGAAAAACAAUUUGGGUCAUAAUCGUUAUCAAUUUGCAUCAUCUUUCUCUAUGAUUAAAACUGUAGAUUUUUUGUUUCAAAGUGUUUUCUAUUUCAUGAGUAAUUCCGAAUGUACAAUGCAGUAUAUACAGGCAAGAGAAACAAAUGGUUAGAAGCAACCAUCUUUACAUGAAACCCUAGAGACCGGUUAAACCUAGGACACAAGCUUUUCCUUAAUUUAAGGUGAUUUACAUCAAAUCCUAGACUAAGAAGUAAUCAGCAAGUUAAGUGCCUUGAAUCAAGGAACUAGAAAAACUGGCGGUUGACUUGUGUAUCUAUGGUUACUUGUGGACUUGAUAUGAGAUGACAUGCUAGGGUUUAGUGUGACUGGUUCCAACACUCCCCCUCAAGCUGGAUCGUGAAGUGUAGUCGAGCCAAGCUUGCUCAGAAGCCUAUGUAACUGAGAAAAGGGUAGAGCCUUAGUAAAUAAGUCAGCCAAUUGAUCAUGACUUUGAGUGAAUUGAGUCUGAAUGACUUGUGUUUGAACUUGAGCUCAGAUGAAAUGGCAGUCCACCUCAAUGUGCUUGGUUCUUUCAUGAAAAACAGGAUUAGCUACAAUGUGCAUGGCAGCUUGGUUAUCACACAUGAGAGACAUAAGGGCUUGAUGUGAGAGCCCUAAAUCUGAAACCAAGCCUUUAAGCCAAAUCAGUAAGCAUGCAGUGGCUGCCAUUGCUUAAUACUUUGCUUCAGCACUCAAUCGUGCUAUAACAUGUUGCUUCUUACUCUUCCAUGUCACGAGGUUUCCCCUAAUGAAAGUACAAUAUGUAAUGGUAGAUUUUCUGUCAAUUGCAUUACCUGCCCAGUCUGCAUCGGUGUACGCACUAAUUUCUAUGGACUGAUUGUUUGACAUAAGAAUGCCUCUGUCCAAUGAACCUUUGAGAUAACGAAGAACACAUUUACCAAGGUAAAGAUGUUGCAUUGUGGGAGCAUGCAUAAACUGACUAACUAAGCUGACAACAUAGGUGAUGUCUGGAUGUGUGAUAGUGAGGUAGAUAAGCUUACCAACAAAUCUUUGGUAGUAGCUUAUGUUGGUGAGAGGUUCUCCAGUAGAAUCAAUCUUCAUUUUGCUGUCAAUAGGUGUGAUGGCAGGCUUGCAAUAGAGAUUAGCCUCAGUGAGUAAAUUAACAACAUUCUUUCUUUGACUGAGGAACAACCCUUUGUGAGAGGUGGUCAUUUCAAUGCCAAGAAAGUACUUUAAUCUCCCAAGAUCUUUGAUGGAAGAUGUGUGGUGUAAGGAGUGUUUCAAGGCUUUGAUUCACUCUCAUUGUCACCAGUGAUGAUUAGAUCGUCAACAUAGAUGAGAACCACAAGUUUUCCACUUGAACCACUUCAAAUAAAUAACAAGGAAUCAACAUUGCUUCUUAUGAACUCUGUUUUUUCUAAGACAAAACUUAGCUUGGCAUACCAUGCUCUCGGAGAUUGCUUGAGUCCAUAGAUUGCCUUAUGUAGUUUACAAACCAUUCUUUUUUCCACUUGAGUGUAACCUAGUGGGGGUUGCAUGUAGACUUCUUGAAGUUCUUCAUGGAGAAAGGCAUUCUUUAUGCCUUUCUAUUGAACCAUCUGCCUUGAGCUUAGUUUUGUAAAACCACCAGCUUCCAACAGCAUUCUUUCCUAGAGGCAACUUGACAAUGCUCCAGGUAUUGUUCUCUUCCAAUGCAUUCAGCUCUUCAGCCAUAGCUAAUUUCCAAUAUGGCAAGGAAACAGCUUCUAAGAAUGUUCUUGGUUCAGCAAUUUUGGAGACUUCAGUAAGAAAUGCACGGUGAGAAGUUGAAUACUUUAAGUAAUGUAGUACAUCAGAGAUAGGGUACCUUAAGGCAUAAGUGACAUAGUCCAAUAGCCUCGCUGGAGGUUUUCUUGUCCAAGCAAGAUUUCUUCGUGCACCUUGAGUUGGCUGUGAUGAUUGUUCAUUGUCAACUUGAUUUUUAGAGCCAUGCUCAACGUCCUCUUGUGAAAUGACCUAUGGAUUUGAGAGGUUUGUGACUUGGUGCACCUCCCCAUUGCCUUGAGUGCCUUGCUGGAACAUCAUCAUCUUGUUCUAUGUACAUAGGUAAUGGGACCAAGUCAUGUAGAGACCCCCCUCCACCAGAAGCAUGCUUGGUGGUUAGAAGAAAUGAGUGUCUUCAUAAAAAAAAAACAUCUCUUGAGACAAUGCAUUUUGUUGGUAGGGGAUUGAAGCAUUUGUACCUUUUUUGUGUAGAUGAGUACCCUACAAACACACAUUUUGCAGCCCUAGCCUCCAGUUUGUCACGAUGUUGAGGCUACACAUGAACAAAGCAUGAGCAACCAAACACUUUCAAGUGAGACAGGUUGAUAGACCUCUUUUCUAGAGUUUCACAAGGAGAUUUAAACCAUAGAACAUGACUGGGUAGUCGGUUGAUGAGGUAUGUAGCUGUCAAAAUUGCAUAGGACCAAAACUUCUUUGGAACAUUCAUGUGUAACAUCAAUGCACGAGUCUUUUCAAGUAGGUCUCGGUUCUUCCGUUCAGCAAUCCCAUUUUGCUGUGGGGUUCCCACAUAGCUAGUUUGAUGUACAAUUCAUUUUGAACUCAAGUAUUGAACCAUGGUGUUGGAUAAAAACUCAAUGCCAUUAUCUGAUCUUAGUGUUUUAAUAGUUGAAUGAAAUUGGUUGGACACGAGUGUAUGAAAGUCUUGAAGGAUAGUUGAAACUUCACUUUUAGAUUUCAUGAGAUAAAGAAAAGUGACACGAGUGCAAUCAUCUACAAAUAUGACAAUGUAUGUGUAACCUUCCAUUGAUUCAAUAGUAGGACCCCAUACAUCGGUGUGAACAAGUUCGAAAUGUAUGCUAGAUCCUUACAUUGAGGUUCCAAAAGGUAACCUAGCAAACUUUGAGAAAUGACAAGUAUCACACUUAAUCAAUAGGUGACAAAACUUGGGAAAUAGUUUUGACAAAACAACUUCGGAUGGAUGGGCUAGCCUUUGGUGACAAAGUUGUUGAUUCUUGGAAAAGCUUGGUUGAACUUGAAGGGCUUUUGACAAAAGGGGUUUCGUGCAAAAAUAAUAGAGACCAUUUUGAUAGAAUCUUUCACCAAUCGUCCUCUUGGUGAGCAUCCUGAAAAAUUACAUUUGUGGGUGAGAAUAUGGCUAGGUAAUUUAGAGUGUUAGUGAGUUGUCCUACGUACAUCAACUGAAAUGGAAAAGAGGGUACGUAUAAGGAAGUAGACUCUAUGGUGUUUGAGACUAAACCUAGUUUUCCUCUUCCCAUGACCAAGACAUUUUUUCUAUUUGCAAUUGACACAUGAGAUGGUUUUGACAAGACUUGAAAAUCAUGUAAGUUUGAGGCUUUAUUUGUUAUGUUAUCAGAAGCACCUGAGUUAAUUGUCCAACAAUCAUGAUUAAAACUAGUUUAUAGUGUAGUUGAGAAUGCUUUGAAGAUACUUGGGACUGCAUCUUGUGAAACAUGAUCAUGAUCAGCUAGAAAUCCUGCAAACUGUCCAAGAAGUGUAGUUUGUUUGUUCCCUUCACCCUUGAUGUUUGUGCAGCUUCUCCAUGAUUCUUGGUUUGCAAGUAAGUUGCAAACUCGUUGAUAAGAGUAACAGGAUUGGUUGUGAAAUCCAUCAAGCCAUGAGUGAGUGAGUUGGUAGCAUGGUUGGCAACAUGCUAAGCCUUGAGAGGAGCCACUGAUGAGGAUCUUGGAACCAUCAUCCUAUUGUCUUUUAAUUUGGGCUUGAGUUCAGGGUGCAGCUCCCAACACCUCUCUUAUGUGUGACCAUAUGCAUUGCAAUACUUACACUUUAGAUGUGGAGUCUUUCCUCGGUACAUUUUGGCAUCAUGGUUUCUGUGGUUUGCAACAUACCCUUGAGCCUCAUAUAGCUUGAGAUUAGGCUCCACAUUCAUCACCCUUAUUCUUGCUUCUUCACGUUGCACUGUGACACAAACAGUCUUGAAUGAUGGUAGCUCCACGCUCAUUAAUAUGUGACUCCAGAGAUCCUCAUAUUCUGAGCUGAGGCUUGCGAGCAGUUGAUAGAUCUUAUUCUCCUCAACUCUUUUAAGAAGAAUAGUGGGAUCCGUGGUGUGAGGGAGGCCCUAAAUGUUGAACAAAAGACUUAUUUUCUUCCUGGAGGCAAGCAAUAUCUCUUUUCAAUUGGAAUACCCUGGCGUAGUUAUUCUAGUUCCCAUACAUAUCCUUCACAGAUUUCCACAAAUCUUGCAAGGAUUCACAGUAACUGAAUAUCUCAACAACAUGUUUCUCCAAAGUGUUGAGUAACAAGGACAUGACAAGUUGAUCCUUGCACAGCCAUGCUCCAUAGGUCUGAAAAGAAGAAUCUGGAAUUUCAACACUUCCAUUGAUGAACCCUAACUUUCCCCUUCCUCCUAGAGCGAGUGAAACUACCCUAGACCAAGGAAGGUAGUUGAGCUCAUUCAGCAGCACCGAGCAUAGGCGCUGGUUGGUAUUGACUUCAGCAUUCAAAAAAUUCGAGGGAGCAACCUGAGAGUUUUCUCCCUCAAGAUUGACUAUGCUUUCCUCAGCCAUUACAAAAGUUUAAACGAACACCAGUGGAAACAACACGGGCAGAGACAAGUCAAGGAUGACACUGCUCUGAUACCAUGUAGAUUUUUGGUUUCAAAGUGUUUUCUAUUUCAUGAGUAAUUCUGAAUGUACAAUGCAGUAUAUAUAGGCGAGAGAAACAAAUGGUUACAAGCAACCAUCUUUACAUGAAACCCUAGAGACCAGUUAAACCUAGGACACAAGUUUUUCCUUAAUUUAAGGUGAUUUACAUCAAAUCCAAGAAUAAGAAGUAAUCAGCAAGUUAAGUGCCUUGAAUCAAGGAGCUGGAAAACUAGCGAUUGACUUGUGUAUCCAUGAUUACUUGUAGACUUGAUAUGAGAUGACAUGCUAGGGUUGCUUUUGCUAGGGUUUAGUGUGACUGGUUCCAACAAAAACAGUUGGGCUUUAAUGACACGGAUUAAAUCUUAUUGGGUUUGAGAGUCAUGUUUUCCUAGACUUCAAUGACUAAGAAAAUGAUUAUCACUCACUGUUAAAUGUUUAAUCCAACAGUACAGAAAAAAGUAUAGUAAAAAAGUUAAAUGAGCACCAACCAUUAGAUUAAGAUCGAACGGUGGGUGACCACCAUUUUCUUGGUAAUUGGAUUAUAGGAGAACAAUUCUGUUGGGUUUUAUAGGGUUUCUUCUGUUUGAGUGGUUAAUUGGCUAUUCAAUCUUAUUGACCUCAAACCUAUGUGGCUAAAAGAAAUAGAGGAUUCAAAGCCAAGUCUAUGUUUGUCUCCUUUAAGAAAAUUUAGAGUAAUACUGUUGAUGUAAUCAAAUUUACUCCCUUAUUUGUGUAGUUUAUACUUUAACAUUAGUUUAUACGACUUCAUGCAUAAAAUUUGUUUAUAUAACAUUUUUUUAUAUAGCAUUUUUCCAUUCGUUGUCUUAAUCCACUUUGCUUUUCUAGGCACUUGAAGAUGAUCUACCCUCGCCCAUUACACCCAGAAACUCCCCACCCCUCCUUCUAAAUCUAUAUUUAUGUUAUUAAAAUAAAAAACCAAACAAAAGACAGCAAGGGGGAAUAUGAUAAUAGACAUACCUUUGCCACCAAUGGUACACCGGCACACUUUUCAGCUAUCGCCCUUCCAAUGCCCUCUUGAUCUGAAUCUAGAGAACGAGCAUUACCAUUUCGUAAUGCUUCACCCCUUAAUAUGGACCAACAAUCCUCGUUUGAUAGGAGCCCCAAAUCACACUUCGGCAUUGUCCCCGUGAUUAAUGCAACCUUUUCACUGCGGGUAGUAACAAUGGUAAUGCUUCCGGGAGCAGAAUUGAGCAUCGACAAACAAUCCGUAAAACUGCUCCAUAAAUCCUCAGCUUCAUUCCAAACAUCAUCGAGUAUCAGCAUAUAUCUCUUCCCUUUCAACCUUUCUUUGAGGUUAUUCAGCGAUGCUUCCCGACUUGUACAUCCUGCCAAUUUAAGGGACUCUAACAUCCGAUUUAGAAUCGAAUUAACGUAAAAAGGGUUGGAUACACACACCCACAUUUUUUCCUGGAAAUGUCCACCAAUAGCAUCAUCAUUGAAUAUUGAUUUUGCCAAAGUCGUCUUUCCAAGUCCUCCCAAUCCCACAACGGCCAUAACCGAAAGGUUAUUUUCCUGAUUCUUGGACUCGAUCAAGGUUGCAAUGAUAUCCGACACUGUCUUCUCCCUUCCAAUGAUCUUCUCAUCCUGACGGAAGCUUGAGACGGUUUCUCUGUUCCCCAUAGCUGGAAGGGUUUGAUCUUCUCUCCUUGCAACUAAGCCAAUGAAAGAUGCCUCACUCUUGAGAACCGCCAGGGACGCAUUGAUGUUCUUAAUCUUGUGUGCCAUCUUUUGACGAAAUAAAAUGGGAUUGGAGAGCGAAAAGAAGUUAAGUACCUUCUUCUUCAUGUGGUUUUGCAGUUCUGCUUUACGCCGGAGAACUUCAUAGUUGAUGUCCUCCAAGACAUCAUCAGCAUCAUGAGCUACGUCUUUCAGUUUUUUCACCCAGUCCUCCAACGCCUUGCGCUUGUGAGGUGGUUGGUGGGCAACAUCGCCUAAGUAAUCUUGAAUCGCAAGUGACGAUUGUUGAAGCUCAGUUAGCUCUUUAUUGAAUCCUCGGAAAAGACUGAUUUCUUGAGCAGCAAGUGAAGCGACCGACUUCAGUAUUCCCUCCACCGGAAAAGUGAUGAGACCUUCUAGCACCUUUACAGGAUCCAUACCCGCCCGAUAAGGGGAGAUUAGAGAGUAGGAAGCAGAGAACUGAGAGAAAGCCAAGGAAGGACACAAGAAGAGCGAAUUAGAUGAAUGAAAGGCUUAACAAUAAUUCAAGAAAAUGUGGUAUAAGAAGAAAGGACCCUUUAUAAUUGACGCCACUUUACGCCUGUGAGCGUCAACAUAAUGUUCAAGAGUGGAGGCCAACUUUAAUAAAGUAACGAGGAUUGAAUAGGAAAGAUAAAAAGAAGACAAAAAUAUAAACCCAUCUUAUUAGCAAAUGUGUUCCAAAAAUUAAUUACCUAGCAUUAUUCUAUCUAUAUUAUCAAGAGAACUUUCAUUGUCAACCUUUCUCGAAAAUAAGAAUUAUAUCAUUGUUUUUCUUAUUUUACCCUUAACCUUUUCUUAAAAUGACAAUCAUAUCCUCAGUUUUUUUAAUUUUACCCUCAUUUUUGAUACACAAUAUUUACAUAAAGAAGACAAAAUUGUAAUUAUAUAAUAUUAAGAAAAAUAUGCCCUUAUGAAGAGAAACUGUCUCAUCAUCAUUGUCUCAUACUUUUUAAAAAAAAUUUAAAAACUAAUCACUCCUUAAUCAAAAACAAAAAAGAAAAUGAAAUUAUUCACACACUAAGUGUGCUCAUCUGCCAGUUCAUAUAAAAGAUAACAGAUAGAAGAUGACAACUUUCACUUGGGCUUUCUAGUAAAUUAAUGAAAAUACACUAAAACCUAAAGAUGCUAAUUCAACAUGAUAAAUGACAGAAUUCGGCCUAAAAUGCUCAUGCAUCACAACAAAGUGGUGAAUUAAAUUUGUGAUUUUUCUGAAAAGCCGGUUCAAUGCAUAAAUAUUAUCAUGAAUUAACGAUAACGAUCAGAAUUCUCCUUGAGAGCAACAGGGGCAAGUUCUUGAGCCACGGCUUUACCUACUGAAACCUUUCUCCUAACAAAUGAGACGCCGGAUAACUUGCUGCGCAUCCAAGGCCAUCUUGAGCCCUUCAACCCCACCAACAUAACAUCCGACUCUAUUCCAAUCAAACAUGGGCCCCGCACGUCCCCACACGGCACAUUCCCUGACCCCCUUCGUCCUCAAUUUCCCUCCAAGAAUGUUACAUGGACAUCAACAUUCAAGUAUGAUGCAUAAACUGUAGUUUCAUCAUCCUUCCAACACGCAAUAUUUUAGUAUGCGUUGGUUGCAUCGAAUAUUUCAGACUGGAUUAGUUUUAGAGGCUAAGUUAAAUUAUGUUAAUAUAAACUAAACUUAAUUCAUAUGAUAAUACGUUUAAUGCAAUGUCAGAUUAAGACACAAAAUAAUUAAGAAAAAGGCAAAUGAAAAUCCAAUUACUUUGCUUUUAAAUCAGCAUAAACUUUUUUCUCAAAUAAUUCAAGAAAAUGUGGAUAAGAAGAUGAGAGAUACAUAUCAAGAUGGUAGGACCCCUUAUAAUUGAUGCCACUUUACAAUUGUGAACUUAAUUUGGUGAGACUGAGCACUUUUCUAAUAGUAUGGAGACAUAAAAUGGCAAAAAAUUGUAAAGCAAAGCAAGACCACAUAAAUGUAAAUCCAUCGUAUCAGCAAAGAUUUUUUCUGGACAAUUUUAGACAAUAGUGGAGAUUCAACUUUAUUAUAUGAAGAUAAUUCUAGUGUUCGGUCUUUUGAUCAAUCUGGCGAUGUGUUGCACACUCACACUAAUAUGAGCAUCAUUAUAUUGUGUUUUAUCAACCUUAAAAUUAACCCCACCCCACACGAUGGAGUGAGUCUAGUGCCGAAAAAUCAUUGUAUCAACCUCUCUAGACAACUUUAGAUGAUAAUAGAGAUCCGACUUCAAUAAAAUUAAGGAAAGAACAAAAAAUAAUAAUGCAACAGAGGAAAAAAAAAAGGGAGCACGUAAGUACAAAGAUUAUAUAAAAGAGAGAAAUGCUAAGUAACUCUCUUAAGUUGAGAUUCUAUGUGGACUUUUCGUUACUUUAUGUUUGUAAAAAAUUAUUUUAUAAUAUUGACAAGAAAAAAAAUUACAAAAAAUUUAUAGAGAAUCACACUUUUGAAAAAAUCUCCGAGAUUCUUGGCUUUUAUUACAGCUAUCCAACUAUCAAUAGCAUGCAUUGUUUUAGGAUGGAAUUUGGAAGCAUUUGAGACGGUCAUCCACGCACCAGAGAGAUGAAAGUCGUCAUGUAACUCUACCAACACGUAAUAGGGGUGGAAAAGCAAGGAGACAAAAUUGGUAUUGUAACCCUACCGACGCGUAAUAGAACGGUGGAAAAGCAGGUGCUGCUUUUUCAAGAAAACCAAGGGAAUGACGUUUCCACUUCCCAAUGGAAAACCACGAUGCCACUAUUUAAUCACUGGAUGGUUAAGAUUGAAAUUUCGCAAAAGAUUCAUGCAUAUACGAUAUUUAGUUAAUAAUUUAAUCAUUUGUAAUUACAUUAUUGAAUUUGUGAAUUUGAUUUAAAAUUUUUAAUUUCUCUAAUAUUACCAAUAUUGAAACACCUAACCCAACUCAAGCUCCUUCAAUCAACAAAAGAAAAAGUCAUCCACCUCCAUCAAAAUUGAGAUAAAAUGGACCAGAAUGCUCUCAUGAUCCUUCUCUCCAAAUCUGAUUGGGUCAUUUUCUUGAGUCGAGUAAUAGCAUUAAUAAGUUACAUAUUCUAUUAAUCGCCGAUAAAAUUCAAACUUACACCAUUAUACAAGGAUACAAAACAUUUCCAUCACUAUAAUAAAAGACCACUUGCGACCGGGUCAUUUAAUUUAAAUCGCCCAUCCCAGCGUGUGGCAACUUCUUUCUUUUCAUACUUUCUCUGCGUGAAGACGUCUACACGCGAAAGAUCUUCAUCGUCCACCUUAUUUCACGCGGUGAUUCAUUUAUUGACUUAAACUUGUUUCGAUUAGUCAACAAAUAUAGGUCUUCCAUGAAUUUUUGUCAGGACUCAGUGCUAGUGACUAUUCAAACCCUACCUAAUUCUCACAUCUUCACCAUGAUUAGUCAACAAAUAUUGGUUUUAACUUUUUACUAUACUAUAAUGUUUAGUCUCUAAAUUAUCUAAUAUUCUGUUAUCGGCCCCACGCGUUGUCCCCACAUGGCACAUCCCAUUUCUUCCUCAAUUUCCUCCAAUAAUGUUUACAUGGACGUCAAUAUUAAUUCAAGUAUAAUGGACAAGGUGUAGUUUCAUCGUCCUUCCAAUAUGCUAUAUUUGAGUAUGCGUUUGUUGCAAUGAAUUAUUUCAUAUUGAAAUAUAAAUACAAAUAUUAAACUGAAUUGACUUAAAAUACACUAAAUUUGACUAAUUUAAUGAAACGUUUGAUCUAAUUUCAAACUAAAUAGCAAAGUAAUUAAUAAAAUGGUAAGUUCAUCCCAACAAAAUUUACCACAUCACUAGUUUCAUCCCAACAAAAUUUGCAUAGUUCGAAUUAUUUAGGUUGAAAUGUUCACAAGAAAUAUUUUACGACAAUGUAAGAUUAAAUUAAUUCAAAGAAAGUUAACACAAACACAAAACUUUGUAACCAAUCAAAUUAUCAUAUAAAAUCGUAAAAACCAUAAAUUUAUGAAUUCUACCAUAGGAACUCACUCAUUGAAGGUAAUAUUGCUUUAGGGACACAAAGAUUCUUUUUAAAUCCUUAAAUGAGUCCUUAAAAGUGAUGGUUCAAGUCCCUAAAUCUCUAACACCUUGAGAGAUGAAAUAAAUUCAAAUCCGUAAAUCUCUAAACCUUUGGAACAUAAUAUUGGGGACCUUGCCAUAAAAAAUAAAGGGUGACUCUGAAUGCAGUCAUUAAUCACUAAUAUUGUUUGAUUGAAAUCUUAUUAGUUCUAAGUUUUUUUUAUCAAAGUCUUUGACUUUGUACGUCUCUUCAUAUUGAUAUUAAUGUAGUUUCAUAUCAACUAAUUAUUUUUGAAGUUCCUUAAUUCUUGGACUUCAAAUUUUGUAAUAAAUUAAUUCCUGAAAAAGCAUAAGACACAUAAUAAAUAGUAAAAUUUGUAACGAAUAGAACAUUUAUCUACCAAUAAUCAAGCAUUACAUUCUAAACACAUAAAAAACAAUGUACACAUAUAAUUGGAUUUUAAAAAAAAAGAAUUUAUCAUUAUAAUUGAGAAAUUUAGAAAAAUAAUCAAAAUUUGAACCUCAUAGAAAAUUAUAGCCGUUUUUUAAGUUAAUGAUAAUUAUAACCAAAGUUGAUGUAAAAGUAUUAACAUAUAUACUCAUGAGGUUCUCUCCGCCACCUCCAAUUCUUCAAACUUUUAGACCGUCUCCGAGGAGUUAAGCUCUCCAGUCCAACAUAAUAUCUAGGUUUUUCGUUUCAGUAGGUAAUCGUUAUAACCAUGGUGGGCAUGGCCACGAAAGGUACUAUUUUUCUUACGAUUCCUAACAUAUUCCUUCAAUUUUUGUUCUUUAAUUUUUCUGAUUUUUGUUGCAUUUGAUUUUCUAAACAUAUUAGAUUAGAUUUCGACCUCUUUCAUCAACACUGCGAAACCGAUGUUCCGAUUGGCCGGGCAAAGUCAUGGUACACCAUCCCAUUUCAGAUUGUAAAAGGUUGACUUUUGGUUUCUGGCUUUUAACUUUGAGCUUUUGGUUUUUGUUUUUUAAUAUUUUCACGUAGAAAUAGCAUUAUUAAUAUGGGAGCACAACAAUAUAUAUGAACCUACAGAGAAAUUAAAGAAAAACAGAGAUGUUGGUCUGCCAUAUGUAAAUUGACAUAUUUGGCUUCUAGCAUUGGGAAGAAAGAAAUUGUGUAUAUUUGAAUUAUAAAUUGCAUUUUCCAUCCAAAUUAAGUAUUUAAAAUUAUUGCCGACAAGAGGAGUUUUGUGAUUAGUCGCCUGCAGGUACGCGUAGACUCAUAUUUACUAUUCACAAAAUGUCAUUAUCGUUCCCGCGUGCAUACGUACGAUCCACCCGUCCAUUCUUGAUUUGUAAAUAUUAUAAACAUAAGUAGCUACUAUGAACGCAUAUGCCAUGACAAUUCUUUUUUUUUUUUUAUAAUUUAUUUUAUUUUUGCUUCUUUGAUUGUGAUAUCCCAGCAAAUUGAGGUUACCCCGUCAAACAAAAUCACUAAUAAAUUCGAUUUAGUAGUUGGCAGUCGGCUAUGGUGGGUGCGCCCAUGGUUUCAAGUCUAAUUUGCAUUUUUUAUUAAUAGUUGGCACGGUCACAUGGUGGUAACCACUUAUUUGUCUUUUGAUUGAUGCAGAUCCGGAUUAAAAAACAAAUGGUCUUUCUAAUUAGGAUAUUUUAUUACUAAUUGUGUUGAUCAAUGAUUGUUUGGCUAUUUGUAACUUGUAAGGUUCAUGAGUGUUGAAAGAGAAAACCGAACACAAGAUUUCAGUUGUAAGUACUAAAUGUAUGCUCUUAACCACUAGAGUUAUAAGUUUUUUGUGUGCUCAAUGUUCGACUCUCGUUCUUUCUAAACAUGAAUUGUGUGGACCAUUGGAUCUGAUGGAGAAUUGGACACCUUAGCAUCAUUGAAGUGAAACAUGCUAUUUGCUCCUCAAGAGGCUAUUUUUCAUGCAGACCUUACGUGCAGAUCAGAUAUAGUACUUUGGAUCUAAUUUGAACUACCGAAAUCAAAACAAGUUUAGGGUGAAACCAGCUCACAAUAAAACAAAGCUCAUUGGUGGAACAGGGUCUGAAAAACCCGUAUAAUUCAUCGGCACAACUCGAAUAUCUCAUCCUUUUUCGUUUUUUUUUUCUUUUCCCGCAAUGGAUUUGGAAUUCCCCAUGGCUGAUGUCACCACACGAGUCUCAUUAUCACCGGAAAAAACCAUGGACAUACUAAAAUCUGCUAUUUUCGUGUCCAAGUUUUCGUUGCACUGGGAUUACUCUCCACUCUUAAUCCAAUUCUCUUACUGGAUUCCCUUCUUAAGUGAGCUGAAAUACUAAUCAAAUUUAUCUGUGAUUAACAUAUUCUAGAAAACUCGGCAUGAUUUUAUUCAAGGAUGAAAGAUUGAAGAAAAAGAGUUACAUAUUGACUAAACAGAUUACCUUCCACAAAAUUGGUCUCAUAAAACUGUGUUAGUUGGGAGAACCUGCACAGAGUGAGAAGAAACACAACCUUCUACAAAAGCGUAUCUGCAGAGUGAGAAGAAACCUUCUACAAAAGUUGCAUCUUUCUUUAUUCAGAUUCGUACCAGUCCCGAUAACACUUAACACAUGAGAAAACGAGAGUGAGUGAACAAUAUUGAAUCAAAUAUUCAUGAAUAAUUGAUUGGAGAUAAAAAUAAAAAAUACCUCUGAUAUCUGGAAUAUGAUAAAUCUUCGGCCAUCUUGGGCCACUGUUCUUGGCGCAUUCUUUCUGCCAGACGUUGGUGAUUGGUAUUUAGUCUUUGGUUACUAUUAUCUUUAGCAAAUGGAGUAGACUUGUCCUUGAAAGUUGAUGACCAAAUUGACAACUACCUCCUCUUCAUUUGGCUACAAUUAAAUCCUAACUAGCUAGUAGCUACCCAGCAAAUGGUGUUGUCAUGGGACCUGCAUUGGUGGAAUAUGAACAUCUGGAAUUCAAUCCAGCUGAAUUAUGGUAUGGUGAAAUCGUAACACAAGUUUCUUCAUUUCAGCCGGGAGUUCCUUCUCGAUGCCUAGACACCUCCAUUUCCACAAUUCACAAAACUCAUGGUGGCUCUAUGUUGGGAGGCAUGCCGUGCUGUCUCUGAUGCUUCCAGACCGAAUUCACAUUGAACUCUCCUCGAAGCCUUUGAUCCAAAAUAGUAUUUCAAUCCCUGUUCUGGAACUCAAGAUUCACCCACUCCACUAUGUGGACAAGAUCAUCAUUUUCUAUGAUUGCAGGUUGGCCAGUAAAAAUCUAAACAUCAAUUUUUUUUUCUUUCAACCUUGCUAAUUAUAGUAUCUGCAGACCAAAUAAAGUAAUCAUAGAUCACUCACUGCUCAUAGAUUUGUUUUUUUUUUUUAACAUGAUCAAAAUUCUAAGAACAGUAGAACACAGAAAUCUGAACAAGCUCGGUAUCCCAUGACCGAUGCCACCAGAGUCUCAGUGUCACUGGGAAAAACCAUGGACAUACCAAACUCUGCUAUUUUGCAUCCAAGUUUUAAUUCAAGAGAAUGUUGGCAGUCUUUACAUCUCUAUGCACAAUACUGGAUUGUGCAUAUAUAUUAGCAUACAAAAUAACACUAAGCACCUAUCUAACGCAAUAUCUAAUGCUAUCCGAAGUCUCAUUUCCCAAGUUUAUGUGAGCUUUGUUGAAUUAUAAGUCUCUAGCUGAUUGAGUAUUAGAAAUAAGAUGAGUUUUAAUGUGUGUAUUCACUUGAGCAUAUCUGCCAAGUGUAAGGUUAAAUGAUGUAAGGCCAUGAGUGCUAUGUGGUGUUUGAUCCAUGUAAUUAGGUUGAUGAGUGACUAAGUUUAAAAGUAGUGUUUUGUGUGGUCCUAAAGCUAAGGCCAUCAGUUAAAUGUAAAGCAGUGUUAGUGCGCAUUUUUCUGUGCAGUACAAAUAUUCCUCUGCAAUACUUUUGCAGCAGAGAGAACAAGAAAGAAAAACUUUUCGGUUCAACUUCUAUCUUUGCUUUGCUUCUGUUCAGCAUUCUGAAAAUAAACCCAGCAAAAUCAAGUUACACUAACAUGGCCUCAGAGCCUUGUUUCGAUUAGAUCUGGGCGUGUUUCUGUGAGCUCAAACAUCACCGUUUCUGGACUCGGUGAAGUUUGCCGGAGUUUGUUUGUGAGCUAAGAACUACGUGUUUCUGGAUUCACACAAGCUCACGAUGGCUGGAUCUGGGAGUGCUGAAGUGAGGACCCCGAUCUUCUCCGGUGAGAACUACGAGUUCUGGAGAAUCAAAAUGGUUACCAUUUUCAAGUCAUAUGGACUGUGGAAUCUGGUGGAAAAAGGGAUUUCGGUUUCUGAUUCGAAGAAGAAGAAAGCUAAGACUGAUGAAGAUACAGAUGUUGAUGCUGACGAUGAUGAGAAAAUGGCUGCAACCUUCAUGAAAGAUGCAAAAGCACUCGGAAUCAUUCAAAACGCAGUCUCUGAUCAGAUUUUCCCUCGAAUCGCAAACGCAGACUCAGCAAAAAUGGCAUGGGAUCUGUUAUAUGGCGAAUAUCACGGUGGGGAUCAGGUAAGAUUUGUGAAACUCCAGAAUCUUAAACGAGAAUUUGAAUACACUAGAAUGCGUGAUGAUGAAUCUUUGACUGGGUAUCUUACUCGUUUAAAUGAUCUGAUUAAUCAAAUGAAGACGUUUGGUGAAAUUCUGUCAAAUGAGAGAUUAGUUCAGAAGGUGUUAAUCAGUCUCACUAAGAUAUAUGAUCCUAUAUGCUUAGUGAUAGAAAACACCAAAUGUUUAGAAUCUGUUGAAUUGCAAGAGGUACUAGCUAUAUUGAAGAGUCAAGAGCAGAGGUUUGAUUUGCAUUCCUCUGAUGCAACUGAGAGAGCAUUUUCUUCUCUUACUGUUAGUUCAAAAGGGCAGAAUCGAAGUUAUGCUCAGUCUAGUACUUUUAAACCACAGAAAAAUUGGAAUCAAAAGGGUAAGAAAUGGGAUUUAAAACCAAAGUUUCAGCAAAAAUCAUACACAAAUGUUGCACAGAAUAGUAUUUCCUCACAGAUUAUGGGUCAAGAGAGUGUAAAACCUCAAUGUAAGGUGUGUUCAAAGUUUCAUUAUGGUGAAUGUAGAUAUAAGGGGAAAUCCAAGUGCCAUAACUGUGAUAGAUUUGGUCAUUGGGCCAGAGAGAGUGUACUGUUGGAAAGUCUGUUCAAAAGGCAAACUGUGCAAGUCAAAUGGAAGUGACAGGAAACUUAUUUUAUGCAAACUGUGCAGUUGCUGAGACUAAGGUUAAUGGAGAUUGGUACAUAGAUAGUGGCUGCAGUAAUCAUAUGACAGGAAAUGUUGAUCUUCUUGUUGAUGUGAAUACAAAUGUUGCAGGGAAAGUUCAAAUGCCAACAGGAGGGUUAGUUAAUGUGGCAGGAAUGGGAUCACUGGAAAUUGAGACUAACAGAGGAAGAAAAUACAUUCGAGAAGUCAUGUACUUACCUGGUUUGAAGGAGAAUCUAUUAAGUGUAGGACAAAUGGAUGAGCACGGAUACUAUCUUGUGUUUGGUGGACAUAUGUGUACUGUUUUUGAUGGUCCUUCUCUGAAAUGUCAAAUUAUCCGUGUAAAAAUGAAAGAAAACAGGUGCUAUCCUCUAUCUCUACGGCCUGAGAAACAACUUGUGUUGAAGACCAGUUUUGCUCAUUGUUCUCUGACUUGGCACAGAAGAUUAGGUCACCUACACUUUGGUGGAAUUAAGAAAUUGAAGGAUAAUGACAUGGUACAUGGAUUACCAUAUCUAGAUGAGUAUGACAAAGUGUGUGAAGGCUGUCAAUAUGGUAAGCAACACAGAGAAAGGUUUCCUAGUGGUCAAGCACAAAGAGCUGGUGCUCCACUUGAAUUGGUUCAUGUAGAUCUGUGUGGACCGAUGAGAAUCGAGUCUACUGGAGGAAACAAGUACUUUAUGUUGCUUGUAGAUGAUGCAACCAUGAUGAUAUGGGUGUAUUUUCUUAGAUUCAAAUAUGAAGCUUUUACUUGUUUUCAGAAAUUCAAGGCCAUGACUGAGUUGCAAAGUGGAAUGAAGGUAAAAUGUGUAAGGAGUGAUAGAGGAGGGGAGUUCUUAUCAAAUGAAUUCAAGCAAUACUGUGACACAGAGGGAAUCCAAAGGCAACUGUCUCUCUCUUACACUCCACAGCAAAAUGGAGUGGUUGAAAGAAAAAACAGAACUGUGAUUGAAAUGGCCAAGUCUAUGCUUCAUGACAAAGGAAUGCCUUACUAUAUGUGGGCAGAAGCUGUGCAUACUGCUGUCUAUCUGUUAAACAGAUGCCCUACCAAAUCACUGGAUAGUAUAACACCUUUUGAAGCUUACAGCAAAAGGAAACCAGGUAUUGCUCAUUUGAAGGUUUUUGGCUCAGUUUGUUAUGUUCAUACUCCAUCCGAGCUAAGACACAAGCUAGAACCCAAGAGUAUAAAAGGAGUCUUUGUUGGAUAUGCAAAAUGUGAGAAAGGCUAUAGAGUAUUUGAUCCAAUCUCUAAGAGACUGAUUCUGUCAAGAGAUGUUGUGUUCGAUGAAAACUCAGCUUGGGAUUGGGAAAGAAGCACUGAAAGAUAUAUGUCACUGCCUACUUAUGAGUUUGACUCUGUUGAUACACAAAGAAGUGAAAAUGCAGAAAAUGACCCUCAAGUUUCAAGUGAUUUAUCAUCUGGAAUAUUGGAAGAAGCUGCAAGUGGUAUUGAUGAUACACAGAUCAACUCUCAGUCAAGUGCAGGUGUGAAUGACACUCAGUUUUUUGAUCAUACUCCAUUAAAAUGGAGAAAGCUGGAUGAUGUUCUUGCUCAGUGUAAUCUUUGUAUUAUAGAACCAGAGAAAUAUGAAGAUGCAGCUAAGGAUGAAUCUUGGAUGAAUGCUAUGAAGGAUGAGCUCUCCAUGAUUGAAAAGAAUGCAACCUGGGAGUUAGUGGACAGGCCAAGUAACAAGCCUAUAAUUGGAGUAAAAUGGGUGUGUUUAAAACCAAACUCAACCUGGAUGGAACUGUGCAAAAGAACAAGGCAAGGCUUGUUGCAAAGGGAUAUGCACAGAAACCAGGAAUAGACUACAAUGAGACCUUUGCUCCUGUUGCUCGAUUAGAUACAAUCAGAACCCUUAUAGCAUUGGCUGCACAAAAGAGUUGGAAACUCUAUCAACUUGAUGUUAAAUCGGCUUUUUUAAAUGGUGUUCUAGAGGAGGAGGUUUAUGUGGAGCAACCUGAUGGUUUUGUAGCUAAAGGGGAGGAAGACAGGGUAUAUAAACUUCACAAAGCCUUGUAUGGUCUAAAACAGGCACCACGGGCCUGGUAUGGAGAGAUAGAUACAUAUUUCUCACAAUGUGGUUUCACAAGAAGUUUAAGUGAACCAACACUGUACAUCAAGACAGAAGAGGAAGGCAUUUUGAUUGUGUCGAUCUAUGUGGAUGACAUAAUCUAUACUGGGAGCAACAAACAAAUGCUUGAAGAAUUCAAGGAAGACAUGAAACGAAAGUAUGAGAUGACUGAUUUGGGCCUUCUCCAUCAUUUUCUUGGAAUGGGAAUAAUUCAAACCACUUCAAGCAUUUUCAUCCACCAAAAAGAAAUAUGCAAACUCUCUGUUAGACAAAUUUGGUCUAAAAGAGUGCAAACCUGUGCUUACUCCAUUGGUUGCAACUGAGAAGUUAACCACGGAUGAUGGAAGUGGUGCUGCAAGUGAAGAAUUAUAGAAGUUUGGUGGGAAGUCUCUUAUAUCUCAUUGCAACCAGGCCUGAUAUUAUGUAUGCAUCCAGUCUGUUAGCCAGAUUUAUGCACUGCCCUACCAGUAAGCAUGUUGGAACUGCUAAAAGAGUGCUAAGAUACAUUAAGGGUACACUUGAUUAUGGUCUGGAAUAUGUGAAGGGUAAGGACUCAAUGUUAAUUGGGUUCUGUGACAGUGACUGGAGUGGAUCAAUUGAGGACAGUAAAAGUACUUCUGGUUAUGCUUUCUCCUUUGGCAGUGGAGUAUUCUCUUGGGCAUCUGUGAAGCAAAAUUGCGUUGCUCUUUCCACUGCAGAAGCAGAGUACAUCAGUGCUUCAGAAGCAACUACUCAAGCCAUUUGGUUGAGAUUUGUUCUUGAAGACUUUGGUGAAUUUCAAACCGAAGCCACUCCAGUGCACUGUGACAACACCUCAGCAAUUGCAAUCACCAAGAACUCUGUGUUUCAUCAAAAGACCAAACACAUUAACAGAAGAUACCAUUUCAUCAAGGAUGCACUGAAGGAUGGCAUCAUUGAUCUGGUGUACUGUCCAACUAAUGAGCAACUUGCUGAUAUCUUCACAAAACCUUUGCCUAAAGAUCGGUUUAAUUAUCUCAGGAGCAUGCUAGGAGUGAAAUCAGCUCAAGACUUAAAGGGGAGUGUUGAAUUAUAAGUCUCUAGCUGAUUGAGUAUUAGAAAUAAGAUGAGUUUUAAUGUGUGUAUUCACUUGAGCAUAUCUGCCAAGUGUAAGGUUAAAUGAUGUAAGGCCAUGAGUGCCAUGUGGUGUUUGAUCCAUGUAAUUAGGUUGAUGAGUGACUAAGAUUAAAAGUAGUGUUUUGUGUGGUCCUAAAGCUAAGGCCAUCAGUUAAAUGUAAAGCAGUGUUAGUGCGCAUUUUUCUGUGCAGUACAAAUAUUCCUCUGCAAUACUUUUGCAGCAGAGAGAACAAGAAAGAAAAACUUUUCGGUUCAACUUCUAUCUUUGCUUUGCUUCUGUUCAGCAUUCUGAAAAUAAACCCAGCAAAAUCAAGUUACACUAACAAGCUUCUAUCUGCAUCCGCAACCAUUGACAUGACACUUAAAUAUUUUGAAACCCUCUGUUGGAGGACAAUGCUAUGUAAAAUAUAGAAUUACAUACCUGAUCGGAGAUAUUCUUUUAGGUUUUCGUUAAGCAUGUACUUGUAUAUAAGUGCCAACUUGUCGAUAUCAUCACAGUAUCCAAUAAAUGAGGCCAAGUUUCUAUGAUGGAUUCUCUUCAGGAGCUCAACCUGCAGCCACAAGGAACUCAUCAAUCUCUAACCAACGAGACGAGGCAUUUAACUUGCAUUCCAAGGAAUUAAAUUCAAACUGUCAAACCUCUGUUUGGAACUCCCUAGCUGAGCUAGCUCCUUGAGAUGACGAUGUAGAACCACAUCUUGAGUGCCGUAUUUCAACUAUCCAUGGUACAAUCCCAAAUCCCCCUUUCCCGAUUUCAGUUUUAAAGUUUUUGGUGAUUUCUAAAACCUCAUCAUAAGUGAACUAGAACUUCUGAAGCUACAGGAGUUUUGUUACGUUUUCUCCAUUUGCAGCUUAAGUAGACAAAAAGAUAUGUGUUCAGACUAACUGGUCAGAAAUACUACUGCACCAUAGUAGGAGCGCCGGUUCUAACUGAAUAAGUAUCAAAGGUAUAAAAUGGUACCUGGUUUUCUUAUUCUUCUCAGCUUCCAUACCAGUAUGAGCACUAUAACUAGGAGGAGAGGCCACUGCUGACAGUAAUGAUCCAAGUAUUGGAACAACCAUGUUCUCCUUGCACUUGAUUGAAUCUGAACUAAAACAGGACUUAUAAGCACAUCGAAAAUCUGAAGGACACAAUACCAUUAGCUUUCAUUAAAGAAAAUGCUAACCUAUUCGGUGCUCUCCAUGAACGAAACUUGCACAGAGCAGUAGGACGAGGAAACCAGUUGAGAUCUUCUUCUCUCUUUGUCUCACUGCAGCCUAUGAACUACCUGGUAUUUAAAACGCGUGACAAUGUUCCGACCAAAAAAGCAGAAAAACGUAUGUGACAGUGUGGAUUUGUACCUCAUGCUGCACAACUUUACAUGAAACAUGAUCCUUAUCACACGGAGAUGCUCAGUCUACAUCAAUCAAUGGAUCAUGCAAUGUUCAUACUAAGAGAGCAAUUUGGUUAAGCCAACGUAUUUUCUAGUCAAAACAUUUCAAGCAUUGUUCCAAAUUGAUUAAGUAGAGGACAAUAUCGAUAUAUAUUAGUAUUUAGCCUACGCUGAUUCACUACACAACAGAUCCCACACCCAUUUUUAACCCAUCAAGUUUUGAACAUGGAAUGAAUGAGAUAGUUUGUAGGAACCAGCAAAGGUAAAGCCUAAAUAGCUACCUAGCAUGUUGCUGUCAUUGAACCUGCAUUUGUGGAAUCUGAACCAAUGGAAAUCACUCUAGGUGAACUCUGGCAUGGUGAAAUUGUAACACAAGUUUCUUCAUUUGAGCCUGGAGUUCUUUGUCGAUGCCUAGAGACCUUUAUUCCAUACAUUGUGUUAGUUGGCACAGCACAGAACCCAUGGUGGUUAUAUGUUGGCACGUGAAAGUUGUGCAUGCCAUUGCUGUCUCUAAAGCUUUCCAGGCCGAAUUCACAUCCAACGCUCCUCGAAUCAUUUGAUACAAAAUCGUUGUUAAAUCCCAUUCUGGAACUCAGGGUUCACCCACUGCACUAUGUGGACAAGAUCAUCAAUUUCUAUGAUUGCAGGUUGGCCAGUAAAACUCUCAAAAUCAAUUUUUUUCAUUCUACCUUCGACAAUUAUAGUACCUGCAGACCAAAAAAAAGUAAUAUCAAACCACUCACUGUUCAUGCAUUUGUAUUUAUAACAUGAUAAAAAAAAUCUAAUAGAACGCAGAAACUUGAACAUACUCUAGAUCAAGAUAACCCACUCUGCCCAUGACCGACGUUACCACACAAGUCUCAUUAUCACUGAAAACAACCCUGGACAGACCGAAAUCUUCUAUUUACGCGUCCAAGCUUUUAUUGCACUGCGCUUGCUCCUCUCUUAAUGCAAUUCUCCUACUGGAUUCCCUUCUUAAGUGAGCUGAAAUACAAAUCCAAUUUAUCUGUGUUUAAAGUAUUCUAGAUAACUCGACCUGAUUUUAUUCAAGGAUGAAAGAUUGAAGAAAGAAGUUACAUAUUGACUAAACAGAUUACCUUCUAAAAAAUUGGUCUAAGAAAACUGUGUUAGUUGAGAGAACCUGCACACAGUGAGAAGAAACACAACCUUGUACAAAAGUGUAUCUCAACAUAUGGAAAUCACUCUAGGUGAACUCUGGCAUGGUGAAAUCGUAACACGAGUUUCUUCAUUUGAGCCUGGCGUUCUUUCUCGACACUUAGACACCUUCAUUCCAAACACUUCCAAACGAGAUAGAGAGUGCAGCCCCUUGGGCAAAUAUUGUAAUUUCCCACAUUUAUAUAAUUCCAAAUGAGAUAGAGAUUGCAAGCUGGAGACAUUGUGAUCCGGCAGAGAUAUCAAAUUGGAGCAUUCACUGACACGCAAAUCGGUAGACUUAUUAAUCCAUCACAUCCCCUAAUUAUCAACUCAGUGAGGGAGGUGGGAAUAGCCUCUAGAUUAGGGUAAAAAUAUAUAUCCAUCUUCUGAAGAGAGACGGGGGUUUGUAGCCCGUGACCCGACAAAGUCCUCAAAUUUGGACAAUUACAGAUCUGCAGUGUGCAAAGACUAGUUCAAGAAUGGAGCCCACGUAUACUUGCGAAUCCAUCGCAGUGUUCAAUAGACAAUCAGCGGAGGGAUGUGCAACCCUUUAAAGACAAGUCCCCCUCGAGAGUAGUGCAUCUCUCAAAAACCAGAUCAUGAAGUGAGGCAGACUCUGAAGUACGUCUUAGCUUUGGGCAAUCAAUUAUUUUCAACUCCUGAAGAGAUUGGGAUGGUGAAAUUUGGAAGGAUUCUAGAUUGCCGCAAUCCUCAAUUUCCACCGUCUCAAGUGAGGGGCAAUAUUCUAACCCACAACACAAGCUCGACAAUUUCUCACAGCUCCUAAUUCUCAAUUGAUGGAGAUUGGUUACUCGACAAUUUCUCAUCAUUCAAGAUGCAAAUUUAGUACCCUUGAAUUCCUCAAUCGUCAAGCUUUCUAAGUUGGGGUGCGGUUGGAAUCCUUCAAGAAUAUCCUCGUCAAGAAAAUUGCCAUUUCUUUCUUUAGGAGGGACCCGCCCCCAUUUUAAUAUCAAUUUUCGUAGGUUUGCCUUUUCCACUAAUUUUGAUUUCACUGCUUCUUCCUUGUCUCUCACAUAUUCUAAUGCUCCAAUAACUAGUUCCCCUUUCAAUUCAUUUAACCUGCCCAACUCAUCAAUUCUAUGACGCCUUGCUCUUUCCAAUUUAAAUGAAGGUAGCGUCUGCAGAUGAGUCAAUCUUGUCAUCCCAAAUGGAACUUCCACAUCCUCGUCGAAAUAAACAUGUCUGAAGUUGAUCAAAUUUUCCAUUUCCUUAGGAAACGUCUUAAGACUAUAUGUUCUUGACAUUUUUAACGUCUGAAGAUUAUAGAGCUUGCCAAUAGAUUUUGGGAGUUUUUUUACUUUUGUCCUUUAAAUGUUGAGAUACCUUAAUCGUUUCAACUUUCCAAUUGAAUUGGGCAACUCCUCAAUUUCAACAUGGAAAAAAUUCAACAUCUGUAAACCUUUAAACCUUUGAAAGAUGUUUUAACGAAAUAUUCCCGGUACUAUUCACUUUUGACGAAAAAUCACAUUUUUACCGUUCCUUGAUAUUGUUCACUACACCUUUAUUUGUCAUUUUUCAUUCAAACUAUUUUUUUUUUUUAACUUUUCAUUAGUUUUCCUUUGAAAAAUAAAUAAAUAAAUAUGGCAUCAGUCAUACAAAGUCAAGCUUUCUAAACCUCUUUUAUGGACAGAUACGGAUUUCACGGUUCGAAGCUCAAUCAACAAGUAAUAUGGACCACUCAAAUUGAAUUCAAUAGUACUAAUUAACUCAUUUGCUGCCUCACCUUACAUAAUCUAAAGACUUCAAUGUCUCUUUCACACAAAGGGCCCAAAUUUUCUGGUCCUUAAGCUCUGAAUACUAAUGUCAGGAGGGGAUCCAAAUUCCUGUUUAUUAUCCAUCUGUCAAAUUGUCAACUGUUUGCUUUAGCUUGUUGUCCUAGUUUCUCUCUUCCUCAUCCUCCUCUAGCUAGCUUUUGGACUCCGGCAUCCGAAUCACAUGUCCAUGCGGCCCUAGACACAUUAAAGCUUACCUACUCAAUGUAAUGACUCCAUUCCCCUCUCCAACUACCUUCAUGGCCCAACACCUCCAGAGGUUUCAAACGAAAGAAUUUCUAGGUUCUUGUGUCCGAAACCCCAGCUAAGUUUAAUAGACGAGGGGUGGGAACAUAAUAUCUUGUAUCGUGGGCCUCACAAUCAUGGAGAUAUAGUGCUUUUUAGUGUCCAAGCCAUAUGAAUUAGGUGGUCCGGUUGCUCUAAACUAGAAUUUUAUCCUCAAUUUGACAAAUUAACAAUGGCUAAUUGGCUAUGCGUCUCCCUCUCUAUGUUGUUAAUAGUGUCGAUAUUGUCCCAUCACAUCAAUUGAAGAAAAACCCCUAUCAGGAAUAAUAUGUAUUAACAAAACAUGAUGCUUUAUUUGAGAAUUUAUUUGAGAAUCAUAGCCUUUGGAUGAGUUCACGAUAGAUAAAUACCACAAAGUAUAGAUAGUCAAAGUUCAAACAUUAUUGACGGAUGGUGAAUGUGAACGAUAAUUCAAGAGUAGUGAGAAAGAUGAUUGGUAUUAAGUCUUUGGUCACUAUUAUCUUGAAAGUUGAUGACCAAAAUGACAACUGCCUCCUUCUUUUGGCUGCAACAGCAGAAAUAGGAUGCUUACAUGGAACCUGCAUUUGUGGAAUAUGAACAUCUGGAAAUUACUCCGGGUGAACUCGUAACACGAGUUUCUUCAUUUGAGCAUGGAGCUCUUUCUCGAUGCCUAGAUGUACACCUCCAUUUCCAAACACUCUGUUAACGCACAGCACAAAACUCUCUGCUGAGAGGUGGAAGUUGUGCAUGCAAUUGCUGUCUCUAAUGGUUUCCAGAACGAAUUCACGUCAAACUCUCCUCAAAUCUUUCGAUCUCAAAACCCCGUUCUGGAACUCAGGAAUCAGGAUUCACCAACUCCACUAUGUAGAGAAGAUCAUCAUUUUCUAUGAUUGCAAGUUGGCCAGUAAAACUCUAAACAUCAAUUUUUUUCAGUCAACCUUUGAUAAUUAUAGUACCUGCAGAUCAAAUAAAGUAAUCAUAGAUCAUUCACUGCUCAUAGAUUUGUUUGUUUUUUUAAAUCAAAAUUCUAAGAACACGAAAUCUGAACAUACUCAAGAUCAAGAUACCCCGCUGUACUCAUGGCCGAUGUCACCACGAGUCUCACUGUCACUGGGAAAUGCCAUGGACAGACCGAAAUCUGCUAUUUUUGCUCCAAGUUUUCACUUAAGAGAAUGUUGGCAGUAUUUACAUCUCUAUGCACAGUACGUGGAUUGCACCUUUAUGCAAGUAAAUAGUCCUGUGAGCCAAAUUUCACAAUAUACAUAUGUUGAAUUAGGCAUAUGAACUUGCACAAUUAUAUUAGCGUACGAAAUAACACAACGCACCAACCUAUAGGCAAUAUCUAGUGUUAUCCGAAGUCUCAUUUCCCAAGUCACAUGUGAGCUUCUAUCUGCAUGCAGCCAUUGACGUGACACUUCAAUAUUUUGAAACCCUCUGAUGGAGGACAAUGCUUAUAAAAUAUAGAUCUACAUACCUGAGAGAUAUUCUUUUAGGUUUCCUUUAGGAAUGUACUCGUAUGUAAUAUAAGUACCAAGUAAUCGGUAUCAACACAGUAUCCAAUAAAUGAGGCCAAGUUUCUAUGAUGUAUUCUCAUCAGGAGCUCAACCUGCAGCGACAAGGAACUCAUCAAUCUCUAACCAACGAGACAAGGCACUUGCAAUUCCAAGGAAUUAAAAUCCUAACUGUCAAACCUCUGUUUGGAAUCCCCUAGCUCCUUGAGUUGACGAUGGAGAAAGUAUUUUAACCGCAACUUGAGUGCCAUCUUCCAAGUAGCCAUGGUAUACAAUCCCAAAUCCUCAUUUCCCAAUUUCAGUUUGAAAGUUUUCGGUGAUUUUUAAAACCUCAUCACAAGUAAACUGGGACUUCAUUGAUGCUACCGGUGUGCUACAGGUGUUUUGUUAUGUUUUUCUCCAUCUGCAGCUUAAGGACAAAAAGUUAUGAGUUCAGACUAACUGGAUAGGAAUACCACUACGCCUUAGUAGCAGUGCCGUUUCUAACUAAAUAAGUAUCAAGGUUAUAAAAUGGUACCUGGUUUUCUUAUUCUUCUCAGCUUCCAGACCAGUAAGAGCACUACAACUUGAAGGAGGGCCAUUGUUGAAAGUAAUGAUCCAAGUAUUGGAACAACAAUGUUCUUCUUGCACUUGCUUGAAUCUGAGCUAAAAAGAACUUAUCAGCAGAUAGAAAAUAUAAAUCUGAAGGACGCAAUACCGUUCGCUUUCGUUAAAGAAAAUGCUAACCUACUCAGCACUCUCCAUGAAUGAAACUUGCACAUAGCAGUACGACGAGGAAACCAGUUGAGAUCUUCACCUCUCUGUCUCAUUGCAGCCUGUGAACUACCUGGUAUUUAAAAUGUGUGACAAUGUCCUGACCAAAAAAACAGAAAAACGUAUAUGACGGUGUGGAUUUGAAACCUCAUGCUGCACAACUUGCAGAGUACAUACAAGAUCCUUAUUACAUGGGGAUGCUUAGUCUACCCCAAUCAAUGGAUCAUGCAAUGUUCAUACUAAGAGAGCAAUUUGGUCAAGCCAACGCAUUUUCUAGUCAAAGCAUUUAAAACAUUGUUCCUAUUAGGGUUAUGUGGUGUGAUACAAGUCAGGGAGACAACCCGAAGUAUUAGACAAAAGUGAUUAAGUCGAGGACAAAAUAGAUGCAUACUUGUAUUUAGCCUACACUGAUUCACUGCACAACAGAUCCCACACCCAUUUUUAACCGACCAAGUUUUGAACAUGGGAUGAAUGAGAGAGUUUGAGGCUACCUAGCAUGGUGCUGUCAUGGAACCUGCAUUUGUGGAAUUUGAACAUCUGGAAAUCACUCUAGGUGAACUCUGGGGUGGUGAGAUCAUAACACGAGUUUCUUCAUUUGAGCCUGGAGUUCUUUCUCGAUGCUUAGACACCUCCAUUCCAUACAUUUUGUUAGUUGGCACAGCACAAAACCAACCAUGGUGGCUCUAUGUUGGGAGGUGGAAGUUGUGCAAGCCAUUGCUGUCUUUAAUGGUUUCCUGACCGAAUUCACAUCGAAAUUUAUAUGAAUCGUUCGAUGCAAAUUAGUUGUUAAAUCACCAUUCUGGAACUCAGGAUUCACCCACUCCACGAUGUGGACAAGAUCAUCACUUUCUAUGAUUGCAGCCUUGCAGGUUAGCCAGUAAAACUCUAAAAUUCAACCCUUGAUAAUUAUAGUACCUACAGACAAUAAAAAGUAAUCAUAAAUAAACCACUCACUGUUCAUACAUUUGUAUUUAUAACAUGAUAAAAAAUCUAAUAGAACAUGGAAAUUUGAACAUACUCGGGAUCAAGAUAACCCGCUCUGCCCAUGACUGAUGUCACCACACUAGUCCCAUUAUCACUCGAAAAAACCACAGACAGACCAAAACCUGCUAUUUUCGCGUCCAAGUUUUUGUUGUACUGUGCUUGCUCUCCUCUCUUAAUGCAAUUCUCAUAUUUGAUUCCCUUCUUAAGUGUAGCUGAAAUACAAAUCCAAUUUAUCUGUGAUUAACAUAUUCUAGAUAACUCGACAUGAUUUUAUUCAAGGAUGAAAGAUUGAAGAAAGAAGGUGCAUAUUGACGAUACAGAUUACCUUACACAAAAUUGGUCUCAGAAAAGUGUAUCUGCACCAUAACACCAUGUGGAACAUGUCUUAGAACAUAUUUGAAUGCACAUUGGAUGUUAAAACAUAUACAGAAUGACCACGGAUUCGUAAACAGUUGCAAAUGUACUUCUAUUUACUCAUAUUUAAGGACUAAAAAGCUUAAUUUCCACAAAAGUCUUAAGUGCUGUUCCAAAAAGAUUGUGAAAGCAAAGAAAUUAAUGUUCUUCCACGAGGCUAGAAAAUGUAUGAUUUUGCAAACUAAAUGCAACUAAGACAAGAGAACAGAACCAAUCACGAAUUACUGUUUCGGGAAAGAAAUCUACACUUGACAGUUGGAAAUGCGAGAAAUCUUGGGCCAGUCAAGCAGGGUGCUUCUUUUAAUUUAGAACACAACAGUAAAAUUUGAACUGGCUUCCCUACUGUCAAUAGAUACUCCAGGUUCCCACAACGGUGAGUAGAUAGAUCAUCGACACAUGAAAGGUUCCGUCAUCACUCUGGUAAGACCCUUCUGAAUCAUCAAGUGCCAUUGUUGAUAGUAAUGAUCCAAGUAUUGGAACAACAAUAUUCUUCUUAAGCUUGCUUGAAUCUGAUCUAAAAAUAACUUAUCAGCAGAUAGAAAAUAUAAAUCUGAAGGACGCAAUGCCAUUCGCUUUUGUUAAAGGAAAUGCUAACCUAUCGGGCACUCUCCAUGAACAAAACUUGCACAGAGCAGUAGGACGAGGAAACCAGUUGAGAUCUUCAUCUCUCUGUCUCAUUGCAGCCUAUGAACUACCAGGUAUUUAAAACGCGUGACAAUGUCCCAACCAAAAAAACAGAAAAAACGUAUAUGAGUGUGGAUUUGUAACCUCAUGCUGCACAAUGAUCCUUAUCACAUGGGGAUGCUUAGUGUACGUCAAUCAAUGGAUAAUGCAAUGUUCAUACUAGAGCAAUUUGGUCAAGUCUAACAUAUUUUCUAGUCAAAGCAUUUCAAACAAUGUUACUGUUAGGGUUAUGUGCUGUGAUACAACCCGAAGUAUUGGACAAAAGUGAUUGAGUUGAGGACAAUAUAGAUACAUACUAGUAUGUAGCCUACACUGAUUCACUGCAUAAAAGAUCCCAAACCCAUUUUUAACCCACCAAGUUUUGAACAUGGGAUGAAUGAGAGUUUGUAGCUCCCUAGCAUGGUGCAGUCAUGGAACCUGCAUUUGUGGAAUCUGAACGUCUGGAAAUCACUCUAGGUGAACUAUGGUAUGGUGAAAUCGUAACACGAGUUUAUUCAUUUGAGCCUGGAGUUCUUUUUGGAUGCCUAGGCACCUCCAUUUCCAAACGUUGUGUUAGUUGACUUGACACGGCACAAAACCCAUGCUGCAGACCAAAAAAAGUAAUCAUAAACCACUAACUGUUCUUACAUUUGUAUUCAUAACAUGAUAAAAAUCUAAAGGAACAAGGAAAUUUGAACAUACUCUGGAUCAAGAUAACCUGCUGUGCCCAUGACUGAUGUCACCACACGAGUCCCAUUAUCACUGGAAAAAACCAUGGACAUACUGAAAUUUGCUAUUUUCGCAUCCAAGUUUUCGUUGCGCUGGGAUCGCCUCCUCUCUUAAUGCAAUUCUCUUACUGGAUUCCCUUCUUAAGUAAGCUGAAAUACAAAUCCAAUUUAUCUGUGAUUAACGUAUUUUACAUAACUUGACAUGAUUUUAUUGGAGGAUGAAAGAUGGAAGAAAGAAGCUCCAUGUUAACUAAACAGAUUACUUUCCAUAAAAUUGGUCUAAUAAAACUGUGUUAGUUGGGUGAACCUGCACAUAGUGAGAUGAAACACAACCCCGUAAAAAAGUGUAUCUGCACGAUAACAAUCAAAUGGAACUAAGACAAGGGAACAGAACAAAUCGUGAAUUACUGUUUCGGGAAAGAAACCUACAUUUGAUUGUCGGAAAUGUGAGAAAUGUUGGGCCAGUGAGGUAGGUUGCAUUUUCUUUUAAUUUAGAACGCAACAGAAAAAAUUGUACCGGCUUCCCCACUGCUGUAGAUGCUUCAGAUUCCCACAGCUGUGAAUAGAUAGAUCGUCCACACACGAAGGGUUCCGUCAUCACUCUGACAAGAGCCUUUUGACUCAUCAAGGGUUCCGUCCACACACGAAGGAUUCCGAUUCUUCACUCAACUAAUAUCCCGUUUACUGCAGAAAACGAGAGUGAGUGAACAAUAUUGGACAAAAUAAAAUAUACAUGGAUAAUUGAUUGGAAAUAAAAAUAAGGGCUCCAAAAAUUAAAAUUACCUCUGAUAACUGGAAUGUGAUAAAUCUUUGGCCAUUCAGGGCCGUCCUUGGCGCAUCUUUCUUUGAGACGGGGACACCAUCGGAUCUGUAGCUUACGUAAUUUGGUUAGGCGUUGCAUAGCUUCGACCGUAGGCAGAUGCAUCAGAUUCUUACAUUUCCAAAUUUCCAACUCUGUAAGAGAUGUAAGGUUGCCCAACCACUCUGGAAGAGCCUCCACACCAUGGAAAUAUUUAAUAGACAAAGAUGUUAGAGAAGUAGAGUGUUGAAUUGGCUGAGGCAGAGACUUGAGCUUAGGCCACCCGUAUAAUAUUAAUUUUUCCGAUGGGACCUGAAGAUCCGGGAAAGAAUCGAGCUCCUUGCAGAACUUACCGAUCCACAACCUUUUCAAACGAGAUAGAGAGUGCAGCCCCUUGGGCAAAUAUUGUAAUUUCCCACAAUUAGACACAGAUAGAGAGGAAAGAGAUUGCAAGCUGGACAAAUUGUGAUCCGCCAGAGAUAUCAAAUUGCGGCAAUCAUCGACAGACAAACUGGUAAGAGACGUGCAGGAUGCAAGCCCACUCGGUAUACUUGUUAAUCGACCGCAUUUCCUAAUCUUCAACUCAGUGAGGAAUGUAAGGUUGUCUAAACUGGGAAUAGCCUCUAGACGAGGGCAAUUAAAGAUACUUAGACCUUCGAGAGAGACGGGGGUUUGUAGCCCAUGACCCGACAAAGUCCUCAAAUUACGACAAUUCCAGAUAAUUAGUGUGCGAAGACUAGUACAAGAUUGGAGCCCAUUCAGUAUACUUUUGAAUCCAUUGCAUUCUUUAAUAAACAAAUAACAGAGGGAUGUGCAACCGUUUAAAGACAAGUCGUCCUCCCCGUCCGCCUCCGGUGAGAAAUCUACCGAGUUCUCGAUUUGCAAAUGACGGAGUGAAGACAGACUGUGAAUUGAAGUGCAUCUUAACUUUGGGCAAAGAGCUAUGUACAACCGUUCAAGAGAUUGGGAUGAUGAAAUUGGAAUGGAUUUUAGAUUGGGGCAAUCCACAAUAUCAAUACUUUGAAGUUUCCGCAAGUGUCCGAGCGGUGGGACCUCCUCACAUUUUUUGCAAUUGGAUAGUUGAAUCUCUGUUAACGAAUCACUCAUCAUACAUGAUGCAAAUUUAGCACCCAUAAAUUUCACAAUCCUCAAGCUUUCUAAAUUGGGGGGCGACUGAAGGCCUUCAAGAAUAUCCUGGUCAAGAAAAUUGCCAUUUCUUUCCGUAUAAUGGCUCCUCUUCCAUUUUAAUUCCAAUUUUCGUAUGUGUGUUUUUCCCACUAAAUUUGAUUUCAUUGCUUCUUUCUUGUCUCUCACAUAUUCCAAUGAUCCAAUAACUAGUUCCCCUUUCACUUCAUUUAGCCCGCCCAGCUCAUCAAUUGUAUGACGCCUUGCUCUAUCCAAAGUAAAGGAACGUAGUGCUUGCAGGUGAGUCAAUUGUGUUAUCCGAAAUGGAAAUUCCUUAUCCUUAUUGAAAUAAACAUGCCUCAAGUUGAUCAAAUUUUCCAUUUCCCUAGGAAACGUUUUAAGAUUGUAUGUUUUUGACAUUCUUAACGUCUGAAGAUUAUAGAGCUUGCCAAUAGAUUUGGGGAGUUCUUUUAUUUAUGUCCUUGAAAUAUUGAGAUACCUCAAGCGUUUCAACUCUCCAAUUGAGAUGGGCAACUCCUCUAUUUCAGCCUUGUAUAAAUUUAACGUCCGUAAAUCUCUAAACCUUUCAAACAUGUUACUGAACUCAAAGCGUCGUGGAGGAAACAACGACCGCAAUCUCGUAACACUCCCUUGUAGAAAUCUUUCAAGUGUGGUGGAAGAAAUCCGGGCAACAUGCUGAAUCUCAAGUGCUCUAUCGUCCAUCCAAUCCAAGUCUCGCGUUAAGCUUUCAAAUUUGAAUACUUCCUCAGCAAGAUCAUGCACAAGAUCAUGCAUCUUGCAUUUGGUAUUCCCAUACUCAUCUUCUCUUUCUCUUCUAUGUGCAUACUCAUAGUUUCUAGCAUCUUGAAAUAAAGAGUUUUGCAAUAGAAUAUUAAAAUGUUCAUUACCUUUAUCCUCCAUGGGAGAAGAAUGGAGAUAUCCUUGAGCCAUCCAGAGCUGGACCAAGUCAUCUUUUUCAAUUUCACAAUCUUUUUCAAACAUUGAGCAAUAUGCAAAACAUUGCUUCAAUGAUGGCUCUCUUAAAUUAUCAAAACUCAACUUCAAGAUCGACAUGAUUUGGUCCUCUCCAUUUGGUAAUUCCCAUAUUUUACUUUCUAGAAUUGACGACCAUUCCUGUGAACGCAUCAAGCUUCCUAAAACCUGUUGAUACAUAAGAUAAUUAGUUUCUAUAUGUUUUAGAAUAUAAAAAGCUGAUCAGCAAAAUAAUAACAGUGCCAAAUUAUAGUUUUAUUGAAUUUUGACUAUAGUUAUUGGCAAUAUAAAAGACGCAUUGAACUCAACUUUGUUUUGUAUCGAUGAAAAGUGAAAGACUGCUCUUGCUAGAAGAGAAAUACUUAAGGGACUUGCUAGCCAAGUAAGAAUUGGUCUCAGAAUUAAUUGAAAGAUACUUUAUUAGAUCAUUUAAAUAUAAGUUUUAAAUUUUUUUUUGAGUACAUCAAUAUAUUUUUACACCAAAAGAUUGGAGAGUUCGGCUAAACCACACAAUGGACAACCUAAUUUGGUAUCGAAUUCGGCAUCCACAAGAUUUGAACCUAAAACCUUUCACUUCUAAAUGAAGAAGAAUAUUAUGAUACUGUAGUACUAAGGGGCUAUAAGUGUCAAUUAGAUACUUAUGAUAACUGAGUAACUGAAUGGUUCGUAACAAUGCACUAGGAAUGUAGUAUUUUGAAGGAGAGCUUUGAUCCACAUUUUCUAGAGCGUUUACAUGUAUAUAUAAGGUUAAGAUUCGGAGACACUCAUUUUUGAAACAUAUUUUAACACAAGUUUUCGUGGCUUUCAUUCUGUAAUUUUUUUUUCAAGGAUCUCAAUCGUUUAUAUUUCAAUUCAUCAUUCAUAGAUCUUUCUUGUAAAAAUUUAGACAAAUCCAAACUCAUUUUGACAUUUAUUGGUAGUGAAGAAAAAAGCCGAUACGAUUCUACAAAGAUACACUAAAUUUAUGCAGUUGCACGAUGAGCACAAAGUGAACUAUUCUUUCGCCUUUUACUAAAGAAACACUGAAUUUGAUCCAAUGGUCAUAUGACUUCAGAUUUGGAUGAUUUUUUGAUAGAGAUGAUAUUUUAGGGAAGACAUAAAAUAUAAGACGGUUAGAUCGUUGAAAUACGUUAAACACACAAUAUAUAUAUACACACACACAGAGCUUAAGGGGAGGGAUCCCCAUUUUUUGGAAAAAAAUGGGGACACGCUCCCCACCGUUAGAUUGACUUUAAUGAAAUUGUGUGAUUGAGAUUGUGUGGCCUGUGUUUUAAUCUCAACCACACAAUUUCAUUAAAGUCAAUCUAAUGGUGAGGAGCGUGUCCCCAUUUUUUUGAAAAAAUGGGGAUCCCUCCCCUUAAGCAAUUCCUAUAUACAUAUAUAUUAUAUAUAUAUAUAUAUAUAUAUAUAUGUAUGUAUAUAUGUAGAUAUAUGUAUAUAUGUAUAUAUAUGUAUAUAGAGAGAGCUUAAGGGGAGGGAUCCUCAUUUUUUGAAAAAAAUGGGGAUUAGGUGUGGGGCCCACUUCACAUCAAAUUUCAACGAUUCGAACCGUCUAUUUUGUUAGUUUCGAUUCAUAGAUCAUCCUUGCAAAAUAUUAGCUAAAUUGGAAAUGUUUAAGACAUCUAAUUGGGUUCAAGGAAAUGAACGAAUACUUUGUUAUAUAAGAAAAUAUGAAAUUUGAUAUUGAUAAUUAAAUAGGCAAAUGGUUUCGGAUUGAAUUGAAUUUUUGCAAGUAUGAUCUAUGAAUCGAGACUAACAAAAUAGACGGUUCGGAUCGUUGAAAUUUGAUGUGAAGUGGGCCCCACACCUAAUCCCCAUUUUUUUCAAAAAAUGGGGAUCCCUCCCCUUAAGCUCUCUGUAUGUAUAUAUAUGUAUAUAUGUAUAUAUAUGUAUAUGAAGGCUUUAAGGGAAGGGAUCCACAUUUUUUUUUAUAUAAAUAGGGAUCUGUUGUGGGGCCAUACCACAUCGAAUUUUAACGAUUCGAACCGUCUAUUUUUCAAAUUGCAUCUCAUAGAUCAUUCUUGCAAAAUAUUAGCCAAAUCGGAAAUAUUUAAGACAUCUAAUUGGGUUCAAAGAAAUUAAUGAAUACUUGUUAUAUAAGAAACAAUGAAAUUUUACCUUGAUAAUUAAAUAGGCUAAUGAUUUCGGAUUGAAUUGAAUUGUUGCAAGAAUGAUCUAUGAAUCGAGACUUUCGAAAUAGACUGUUCGGAUGAAGUUCGAUGUGAAGUGGGCCUAUGGAUUGUUCAAAAAAUGUGUCUCCCAAUCCUAAUCCAUAUAUAUGUUAUAUAAACAAAAUUGACCCUUUAAAGCUCACUAUUAUGUUUUUCAUGCAAUUUUCCUUUAAAAUUGUUGGACAAAAUUAGAUAUACCAAGUUAAGGCUUUUUAUAAUGGCGAUUCUGUUGAAUAUUUAAUCAUACUUAUAUUACUAACAUAUAAUAAUAUUCUUUUUUACCUGUAACUGAAGGGUUUUUAAGUUUUUGACUCAUAUGAAUGGUGAUGACACAUUAUAUUUAUUUGAGUUUGAGUUAGAAAUCUAGAUAAUUGUAUGUUUGACUCUGAAUAAAUAAUUAAAACUUAAAAUUAUGUAAUUGAUGCAUUAUUUAGGAGUUCAAUUAUCUGCUAUUUUUUAGGGAGAAAGAGGCAUAAAUAGUAGUAGUUCGAACAAAAAAACAUAAUUGGACUCACUUAAAAUGUAGCCUAUGAUUUUGGGCCUCUAUCUAAAAACCUUAAUAUAAUAAUAUAUGAAUACAUAUCUUCGCCGCCAAUGGUACACCAGCACACUUUUUAGCUAUGGCCCUUCCAAUGCACUCUUGAUCUGAAUCUAGAGAAGAAGCAUUACCAUCUGGUAAUGCUUCACCCUUUAAUACAGACCAACAAUCCUCCACCGAUAGGCCCUUCAAAUCACACCUCGGCAUUGUCUCAGUGAUUGAUGCAACCUUAGCACUACGGGUAGUAACAAUGGCAAUGCUUCCGGGACCUGAAUUGAGUUUCGACAAACAGUCCAUAAACUCCCUCCAAAAAUUCUUCUCUUCAUUCCAAACAUCAUCAAGUAUCAGAAUAUAUCUCUUGUCUGUCAACCUUUCUUUGAGGUCAUUCAGCAAUGCUUCCCGAGUUGUAAGUCCUGUCCUGUUUGAGUUAAGGGAUUCUAACAUCCGAUUUAGAAUCGAAUUAACCUCAAAAGUGUCGGAUACACACAACCACAUUUUUUCAACAAAAGGCGUACGAAUAGCAUCAUGAUUGAAUAUUGAUUUUGCCAAAGUCGUCUUUCCGAGUCCUCCCAUUCCCACAACGGCCAUAACCGAAAGGUUAUUUUCCUGAUUCUUGGACAUCAAGAUUUUAAUGAUAUCCGACACAAUUUUCUCCCUUCCAAUGAUCUUGUCAUACUGACCGAAGCUCGAGUCAGUUUCUCUGUUCCUCAUAAUUGGAGGAGGGCUAUGAUCUACUGGCCUUACAACUAAGCCAAUGGAAGGUGCCUCACUCUUGAGACCCGCCAGUGACGCAUUGAUGUUCUUAAUCUUUUGUGCCAUCUUUUGACGAAAUAAAAUGGGAUUGGAAAGCGAAAAGAAGUCAAGUACCUUCUUCUUCAUGUGGUUUUGAAUUUCUACUUUACGCCGGAGAACGUCGUAGUUGAUGUCCUCCAAGACGUCAUCGGCAUCGUGAGCUACGUCUUUCAGUUUCUUGACCCAGUUUCUGACUGCCAUGCUCCGAUCCUGUGGUUGGUGGGCAACAUCGCCUAAGUACUGUUCAAUUUCCUCUAACGAUACAGCAAGCUCAGUUGCUUCUUUUUUAAAAUCCUCGGAAAAGACAGAUUUCUUGAGCAGCAAGCGAACCGACCGACUUCAGUAUUCCCUCCACCGGAUAAGUGAUGAGACCUUGUAGCACAUCCAUACUCGCGCGAGAAAGGGAGAUUAGAGAGUAGAAAGCAGAGAACUGAGAGAAAGCCAAGGAAGGACACAAGAAGAGCGAAUAAGAUGAAUGAAAGGCUUAACAAUAAUUCAAGAAAAUGUGGUAUAAGAAGAAAGGACCCCUUAUAAUUGACGCCACUUACCUGUGAGCGUCAACAUAAUGUUCAAGAGCAAUAUUAACCCAUCUUAUCAGCAAAGAUUCUUUCUACAACUUUAGUAAAUAGUGGAGGCGGACUUUGAUUAGUCAAUAUUUAUUGGUCUUCCAUGGAUUUUUGUCAGGACUUAGUACUGGUGACUAUUCAACCCUACCCGGUCCUGUCACUUCAUCUUCUACAUGAUUUCGCGUAGGCAGUGGUAUUUACACAUUUAACUUUACUUUUCAUUCUUAAUUUUACUGAAUGAAUUGAAAAAGAAUAAUUAUACAAAAUUAACAAAAAUGUGUCAGAAAUAAAAAUGAUUGUGUGAAUAAGACUUUCACAUAAAAUGUGUUUUCUUUUACACAAUCGAGCUAGAAACUUGUCUCUUACACAUCGAAUUGACUAUGGUAAACCUAAACCUAACGACAAAAUGCGGUAGCUAUUACGAUCAAACGCUAGGAAUUCGUCUCCAACCCUACACAUAUCUGAUAAAGAGCGAUUAAAUUGGUCUUGGUUUUAGCAGUUUAUACAUACGUCAAAUCCAACGAAAUCAAACCAAACUAAUUAUAGUUUGAUUUAGUUCAACCUAAAAUUGCAUUUUUUUUUCAUUAUAAAAGUCAUACCAAACUUCUUAGAUUGAUUUUUAUACAACGAUAUAUAUACAGAGAUAAAAGUUAAAUCAAAACUUUUUGGAUUGGGGUGUAGUAUAAAUUUGUAUUGAACUCUUCAUUCAUGAAUUUCAAACUUAAGACCUAUUAUUUAUAAGUAAAGAAAAUUAUUGUUAGAUCAUAAUAUUAAAUGACACCCUCUUGGAUGGUUUAGUUUGAACAGUAUUUUCAUACAACGAUAUAUUUACGUUAAAUUGAGAUAAAAUGGACAAGAAUACUCUCCGAAUCUCUAUUUAGGAACUUCCACCACUAUCUCUGAGAGCUUAUUUAAAGAUUUUAAAGAAAUAUUUGGGUCUUUAAAAGAAUAUUGUUUUUUAUGAAAAGUUCUUAUAGUGUAAUCUUCAGAUUAAUAUAAAAACUAAAAUAUUGAAAAAUUAUUAUUCAUGGAUGAAAAAACCUAAAAAAAUAUCUCUACCCUUAGUUUUUCAACAAUUAAAAAAAAAUUACGUGAAAAACCAAAAAUGAAAAUUUCACGUGGGUGGGAAUCGUGGGAUCAACAAACAAGGUAAAAGACAAAAAACCAACUGGUGUGGGUCACUUUUCUCCAAAAUCAACAGAGGCCCACUAUACAAUUUUCACAUUUGAGAUUUUCUUUUGAAGUAUUUAGCGAGUUUUUAUCAAGGAACAAAAUGCCGAUAAUAUCGGUGAUAUUUCGCCGAUAUUAUCGGUUUUUCAGGGUACCGAUAUUUUAAUAGGUAUCCAAUGGGUUUUCGUCAAAAUAUUGCGAUAUUUCCGAAACUAUCGCGAUAUUUUGGAACUGUGCUACUCGGAGAAGAACGCCGGAGCUUCUACAGCUCCGGCCGAUUACAAACGCAAACCUUAGACUCCGAUCUAAUUACCAACGUGAAGAGGAAAGAGAGAGGAGUAAGUUUAUACCCUUGGUUCGCCGUGAAAUGGCUGAAGGUUUUCGGAAAGCUCCUUAACAGUCACGGGUUCGCCGGAGUUGGGUGAGCUUUCCCUUGACCUGAUCUCGUUCCAUAACACACACAUAAGCUUACCUAACUGGAGAAAAUGAAGAAAACUCACCGGAGGUUUCUGGGUUUCGUCAAUCUUGCAGAGACAAGAGGAAGAGAGAGAAAGACGAGGUUUUGAUGGUGAUGCCGUCUACGGAACGAUGGUGUGGGUGCCGUGUACUAGGGUAAUCAUGGGAGAAAGAGUGAGAGUGAUGAGAGGGUUUCGAGAGAGAAGAGAGUGUGCAGAGAAGGAAAGAAAGAGAAGAAGAAAGAAAGGGGGUCUCGGGUAGGAUCUGGUUGAUCUCGGUGACGAUGGUGAUGAAGCCAGAGGAGGAAGAGGAGGAGGGAAGGCGGCGGAGGGAGAAGGAGUAGGAGGAAACGAAGAGGGUUUUGCAGGGGCGGAGAUUGCGAAGAGGGAGAUGAGGGCGAUGAGGAGGAGGAGGGAUCGUUUACUCGUUCUCUCUGUCUUCUCUUCUUUCUCGUUUCAAUUGGCAAUUUAGGGAUUUAAGCAAGUUUUAGGCCCCCAAAUCAUCUACUUAUAUUGCCCUAAAAAACUCCAAGUAAUUACAACAUCGUAUUAGAAUUGUAAUUGAUCCUUGUUAGAUUUGGUUUAGAAAUUCUAUGUAAUUUAGUGAUUGUUUCAUAUUAGGUUUAGAUUUGAAUUUUUUACUCCAUUCAGAUUUUAAAGGAUUAUAAUAGAUUUAAAAAUUUAUGAAUUUUGAUGAAGUUUAAUAAUUUUUAAAACUUUUAUGUAAAAUUUUAAGUGAAUUCCCUCAAAUUUUCAGGGAGCGAUUUGAGAAUGUUUAAAAUAUUAUGUGAAAUAUUUCUAAUUUUUUCGAGUUUCCCAACUUUUUAAAAAUCUCUUCGAAUCAAUUUCUAAAUGAAUACAUUUGGAAUGUAUGAAUAUCUUAAAAAUCAUGAUCGAAUACCCAAAAAACUUUAAAGAAUCACUUAAAAUCCUGAUUAAAUACCCUUAGAUUUUUAAGGAGAAUUAAAAUGUUUAUAAGCCCCAAUUGGAUGUACCGCUUAAUUUAACUAAUUGACACAACACAACAAAACUAGUUAAGAUUACAAAUUAACACAAAAGACGACUUGAUGCGAGGUCAUAUCUAAAAAACUUGCCGCAAUAAGCCCCAAUUGGUGUGUUUAAACUUCUUUCAUUAAUUACUACAUAUUUUCUACACUCACAUGUUUGUCAGCUCGCUAUAUAAUCAACUUGAUAAUGUUAAAUCCAUCAUGCAAUGCAUUUCCUUCCAAUUUUUUGUGAUAAACUAAUAGAUAAUUGACUAAAUAAACAUCCUGCAAAGUUUUUCAAUAAAAAAUUUCCAAGUUUUUCUUACAAUUUUCGUGGUUUCCAUGUAAUUUUUAUCGAUAUCGAUAUUAUCCCGAUAUUUCCAUCGAUUUUCCGUGUUUUCGGACUACCGAUAUUUCCGAUAUUACCGAUAUUUAAUACCUUGGUUUUUAUAUAGGGAGUUUUAACGAAAAACCCACGGUACUGUUCACUUUAACGAAAAACCACAUUUUUACACUAAAAAGUCAAACCUGGUACUAUUCACUUUACCUUUUAUUUUGUCCUUAUCAUUAAAACUCAAAGUUUUCAAGCUUUUUUCAUUAGUUUUCCUUUUUAUAUAUUUGAAUAUUUUUUGACAAAAAAAAUAUUGGAAUAUUUUAAAGACUUUAUUUUCGACUCUUUAAAUACUUUUUGUCUUUAUGUUUAGAGAUUGUACUAUUAUAAAGACUUUGUUUAGAUUCUCUAUUGGAGAUGUUCAAACAUGACAAAAAGGUGAAAGUAGAGCAAGACCACAUAAAUAUAAAUUCAUCUUAUCUGUAAUCUCUUUCGACAACUUUAGAUGAUAGUGUAGACCCAACUUUAACAAAGUAAAUUAAAGAUAUUUAUUAAAAAAUAAUAACAACUUCGUUAGUACAUUCAAAAGUGUAUGUAUGAUAAGAAGAUCCUAAGUAUUCGUUUUUCAGUACUAACGAGAGUCAUCAGAUUGAAAUACCUCCAAGUAAUUGUAAACGAUUCGAAUUCACGGAACAACUAUACAAAUUCAACAUAUGUCAUUUGGUUUCCAAGUUGAUCACUACGUGUAUUUCAAUCAAGGAUGAAAAAAUCGAUAAUAUCGGCGACAUCGUUUUUUUGAAGUUCCGAAAUUUUUUUAACUAUCCAACCUAUUUUCAUCAAAAUAUCGCGAUAUUAUCGAUAAUACCAAUAAUAUCGCGAUAUUAUCGAUAAUACCAAUAAUAUCGCGAUAUUUUCGAAAUUAUCGACAAUAUCGUGAUAUUUUAUUAAAAAAAUACUUAAAUAUGUUGAGAAAACUCAACACAUAGUUAACUUGAUCAUGGCCCAAAGGCCAAACAAGUUUUGGUUAUCUCUCCAGGGAAGUGAGUUUUAUAGCAAAAAUUCAUUUCUCACUUCCUUGCAUGGGCGAUGUGGGACUCGCCCAAUGGGGGAAAAAAUCAAAAUUUCGGCCGAAAUUUUACACUCACUUUAAACGGCCAUAACUUUGUCAAAACUCAACGAAAUCAAGCAAGACAAAAACUAAAGUUGUAGCCCUCGAAGAGACUAAGAGAAUGGUACCUCACACUAUGUCUUAAUCGUAGUGGUUUGGCCGGAAAAUGCCUCGAAAGUCACUGAGGUCGCUGAGGUCGUCGGAAACUGGGUAAGAUUCAAAUGAGUAUAACUUUUUCAAUACGCAACGAAAUUGAGUGAAACAAAAAGGAAAGUUGUAGCCCUCGAAGAGACGAAGAUAAUGGUACCUCACACGAUGUCUGAAUCGUCGUGGUUUGGCCGGAAAAUUCCUCGAAAGUCACUGAGGUCGCUGAGGUCGUCGGAAACUGGGUAAGAUUCAAAUGAGUAUAAUUUUUUCAAUACGCAACGAAAUUGAGUGAAACAAAAAGGAAAGUUGUAGCCCUCGAAGAGACGAAGAGAAUGGUACCUCACACGACGUCUGACUCGUUGUGGUUUGGCCGGAAAUUGCCUCGAAAUCUACUGAGGUCGCCGGAAACUGGGUAAGAUUCAAAUGAGCUUUUUCAAUACGCAACGAAAUUGAGUGAAACAAAAAGGAAAGUUGUAGCCCUCGAAGAGACGAAGAGAUUGAUACCUUGCACGUCAGCCCAAAAUUCAAAUUGACACACUCCUAGCUUCCAAAAUUCAAUACUUUUUACUUUAUAUCAAGUUGAAAAAACAUAAUCGGCAUCCAAAUUAAAGUUUAAUCUUAUUCAAUGUAUUGAUUUUCAAUCGUUAAUUGAUAUACUAUAAUUUGGAACUUCAACGCCUAGACGCAUGCUUAUGUGUAAGAAAUUUAAAUUGUCAAAUUCGGCACAUUAUUCUUCAUCAUUUUAUUCACUUCCCUUUUUUUUUUUUUUAAUAUCCUAAAUAAAACCUCCAAAUAUUGUACUAAUUAAUUAUAUAUAAAUGAUUAUGGUGUGUUUAAACUUCUUUCAUUAAUUACUACAUAUUUUCUACACUCACAAUGUUUGCCAGCUCGGUAUAUAAUCAACUUAAAUCAGUUAAAUCCAUCAUGCAAUGCAUUUCCUUCCAAUUUUUUUGUGAGAAACUAAUAGAUAAUUGACUAAAUAAACAUCCUACAAAGUUUCAUUAAAAAUUUCCAAGUUUUUCUUACAAUUUCCGUGGUUUCCAUGUAAUUUUUAUCGAUAUCGAUAUUAUCCCGAUAUUUCCGUGUUUUCGGACUACCGAUAUUUCCGAUAUUACCGAUAUUUUCUUCCUUGCUUUCAAUAAUAUCUUGUUUAGAAUUUGUUUGGAUUUGCAGAUCCUCCAUCUUCUAACAUAGAGGAAAUUUCUCCAACACUGCCUUCCUUGUAAUUGUUGUAAUGAGAUGCGUUGUUGUUUUCAUGGGGCAGGUCCUAAUGAAUCCUAUAGCUAUUGGACCCCAUCCCACUUGUGUUUGGCAUCGGUGGCACCAUUGUGUUUGGCAAUCAAUGCAAAAUUACGUACAAUAAUUUAAGUAUCAAACAAAAUGUAAACUUCAUUUUGAACAUAUGGAGUAGGGUUUGUUGCAAGUAUAUUAUUGGAGAUCGAAUAAUGACAUGAGACUAAUAAUAAUUUCUGGUGUAAUUUGUUAAUUUUCUGAGUAUUCCACUGACUUUUUGGAAGGCUGGCUGGUGGAGGAAGCUGCUUUUAGCUUUUUAUUACUUCUUGAAACUACCCGCUUCGGAUUUGAAUUUACCAAAAGCAACUUUCAGCUGUUAACUGCAAUUUAUGCAGCUGAUAAGAGAUAUAACCCACUCUACACCUCGUAACGAAAAAAAAAACCCUUCUAUAGACACUUUGAUCACGUCAUCUAUAGAGUUAUUUAGUGUAAGAGCUUUUCUAAUACGUUGAAACUCAUUUUCAAGUGAGAGACAUCAAAUUUGACUCACAUAAAUAGUAAAUUUGAAAACAUUUUUUGUCGAAAAAAAAUAUGUUUGUUACUUAAUUGUUAUAUGUUGGAUGUCGAGUUUCUAUUAGAAAAUAUUUCUUGUAUAUAAAAGGAAAACAAUUUUAAUUUCAUUAUGUACACAUGUCAAUAUCACUGGCAAUUUGACCAAAUGGCUACUAUUUGGUGUUUUAACUGCAAAUGCAUGAAAUCAGUGAGAGAUUUUUCAAUGUGAUCGAUACACAAAAUAAUAUAUCACGUGUCACUAUAUAAAUUUUUAUGUAUGUUAAAAAGUUAAUAACUUAAAAAAUAAAAUUUCUCACAAAUUCUAUAAAAACAUGUGAUGUACCAUUCGUGUUCCGAUCACAAUGAAAAAUUUCUCGAAACCUUCACGCUUGCUUCCUCAAUCACCAACAUUGACCAUUCUCUCUUUCCCAUUAAAAAAAUUAAUAAAUAUGGCGUCAGUCAUACAAAGUCAAGCUUUCUAAACUCUUUUAUGGACAGAUGCGGAUUUUAGGGUUCAAAGCUUAACCAACGGGUAAUUCGGAUCAUUUAACUUGAUUUUAAUAGUACUAAUUAACUCAUUCUGCUGCCUCAUUUUACGCAAUCUAAAGACUUCAACGUCUUUUGGACCUAAAUUUUCUGGUCCUUAGGCUCUGAACCCUAAUGUCAGAAGGGGAACAAAUUCCUCUUUAUUAUCCAUCUGUCAAAUAUUCAACUGUUUGCUUUUAGCUCGUUGUCCUAGUUUCUAUAUUCCUCAUCCUCCUCUAGCUAGCUUUUAGAGUCCGGCAUCCGAAUCACAUGUCCAUGCGGCCCUAGACACAUUAAAGCUUCCCUACUCCAUGUAAUGACUCCACUCCCCUCUCCCUCCACCUUCAUGGCCCAACACCUUUGGGUUUCGGACAAAAUAAUUUAUACAUCUAGAGAGGUUCUUGUGUCUGAAACCCCAGCUAAGUUUAAUAGAGGAGGUGGGAUCAUAAUUUGGUGUAUCGUGGGCCACACAAUCAGGGAGAUAUACUGCUUUUUUAGUGUCCAAGUCAUAGGGAUCAGGUGGAUUGGUUGCUCUAAACUAGAAUUUUAUCCUCAAUUUGACAAAUUAACAAUGGCUAAUUGGCUAUGCCGCUCCCUCUCUAUGUUGUUAAUAGUGUCAAUAUUGUCCCGUUACAUCGAUUGAAGAAAAACCCAUAUCAGGAAUAAUAUGUAUAAACAAAAUAUGAUGCUUUAUUUGAGAAUUUAUUUGAGAAUCAUGGCCUUGGAUGAGUUUACGAUAGAUAAAUACCACAAAGUAUAGAUAGUCAAAAGUUCAAACAUUAUUGACGGAUGGUGAAUGUGAAUGAUAAUUCAAGAGUAGUGAGAAAGAUGAUUGGUAUUUAGUCUUUGGUCACUAUUAUCUUGAAAGUUGAUGACCAAAAUGACAACUGCCUCCCCUUCUUUUGGCUGCAACAGCAGAAAUAGGAUGCUUACAUGGAACCGGCAUUUGUGGAAUAUGAACAUCUGGAAAUUACUCCACUACGUAAGACAAGAUCAUCACUUUCUGUGAUUGCAGGUUGGCCAGUAAAACUCUAAACAUCAAUUUUUUUUCAUUCAACCUUUGAUAAUUAUAGUACCUGCAGACCAAAUAAAGUAAUCAUAGAUCACUCACUGCUCAUAGAUUUGUUUUUUUUUUUUAAAUCAAAAUUCUAAGAACACGAAAUAUGAACAUACUCAGGAUCGAGAUACCCUGCUGUGCUCAUGACCGAAGCCACCACGAGUUUCACUGUCACUGGGAAAAGCCAUGGACAGACCGAGAUCUGCUAUUUUUGCGUCCAAGUUUUCACUUAAGAGAAUGUUGGCAGUAUUUGCGUCUCUAUGCACAAUACGUGGAUUGCACCUUUAUGCAAGGAAAUAGUCCUGUGAGCCAAAUUUCACAAUAUACAUAAGUUGAAUUAGGCAUAUGAACUUGCGCAAGUAUAUUAGCGUACGAAAUAUCACGAAGCACCAACCUAACGCAAUAUCUAGUGUUAUCCGAAGUCUCAUUUCCCAAGUCGCAUGUGACCUUCUAUCUGCAUUUUUAGCCAUUGACGUGACACUUCAAUAUUUUGAAACCCUCUGAUGGAGGACAAUGCUUAUAAAAUAUAGAACUACACACCUGAGAGAUAUUCUUUUAGGUUUCCUUUAGGCAUGUACUCGUAUGUAAUAUGAGUACCAGGUAGUAUCAUCACAGUAUCCAAUAAAUGAGGCCAAGUUUCUAUGAUGUAUUCUCAUCACGAGCUCAACCUGCAGCAACAAGGAACACAUCAAUCUCUAACCAACGAGACAAGGCACUUGCAAUUCCAAGGAAUUUAAAUCCUAACUGCCAAACCUCUGUUUGGAACUCCCUAGCUCCUUGAGUUGACGAUGGAGAAAGUAUUUUAACCGCAACUUGAGUGCCAUCUUCCAAGUAGCCAUGGUAUACAAUCCCAAGUCCUCCUUUCCCAAUUUCAGUUUGAAAGUUUUCGGUGAUUUCUAAAACCUCGUCGUAAGUAAACUGGGACUUCAUUGAUGCUACUGGUGUGCUACAGGUGUUUUGUUAUGUUUUUCUCCAUCUGCAGCUUAAGGACAAAAAGUUAUGAGUGCAGGCUAACUGCAUAGGAAUACCACAACGCCAUAGUAGCAGCGCUGUUUCUAACUAAAUAAGUAUCAAGGGUAUAAAAUGGUACCUGGUUUUCUUAUUCUUCUCAGCUUCCAGACCAGUAAGAGCACUAUAACUUGAAGAAGGGCCAUUGUUGAAAGUAAUGAUCCAAGUAUUGUUCAAAGUAAUGAUCCAAGUAUUGGAACAACAAUGAUCUUCUUGUACUUGCUUGAAUCUGAGCUAAAAAGAACUUAUCAGCAGAUAGAAAAUAUAAAUCUGAAGGACGCAAUACCAUUCGCUUUCGUUAAAGAAAAUGCUAACCUAUUCAGCACUCUCCAUGAACGAAACUUGCACAAAGCAGUAGGACGAGGAAACCAGUUGAGAUCUUCAUCUCUCUGUCUCAUUGCAGCCUAUGAACUACCUGGUAUUUAAAAUGUGUGACAAUGUCCCGACCAAAAAAACAGAAAAACGUAUAUGACAGUGUGGAUUUGUAACCACAUGCCGCACAACUUGCAGAGUACAUACGUGAUCCUUAUUACAUGGGGAUGCUUAGUCUACGUCAAUCAAAACCUUCCCCAGAAAACUAAAUCCCUAAUAUCAGAAUUUCAAAAACCCUAACCCUUGGGAUCCUGCUGACAGCGCUGGGGCUGGGCUGACGGUGCUGGGGUGACGGCAGUGGGGUGAUGGCGGUGUGGCGACGAUGUUGCUCCAAGCGGUGGCGUGGCGACCAGACCGGUGUUCUGGGCUUCUGGGCUUCUGGCGCGCGAGAGAAGAAGAAGCAAGAAGGCAGAAGGCAGAAGGCAGAGGUAGACGAAGGCGAUCGAAUUCGAAGGUAUGGUAUGAAGACUGAAAAUCCUUACCCAAACGGCGUUGUUUUGGGUUUGGAUGGUUUUCAAAAAACAAAAAAAAGGGUAUGACAAGGCGCCUGGACGCCCUGAGGCGCGCCUCCGCCGCCUCGGCGUCUCCGGCGAAGCAUUUCGCCUACUCCAGAAAAACUGAGGCGUUUGCCUCACCGCCCAGCCUCAAAGGCGCCCUAGGCGCGCCUCGAGGCGAGUUCUUUAAAACAUUGCUUAGAACUUAUUCGAAUGCACAUUGGACGUUAUAACAUAUACAGAAUGACCACGGAUUCGUAAACAGUUGCAAAUGUACUUCUAUUUACUCAUAUUUAAGGACCAAAAAGCUUAAUUUCCACAAAAGUCUAAAGUGCUGUUCCAAAAAGAUUGUGAAAGCAAAGAAAUUAAUGUUCUUCCACGAGGCUAGAAAGUGUAUGACUUUGCAAACUAAAUGCAACUAAGACAAAAGAACAGAACCAAUCACGAAUUACUGUUUCGGGAAAGAAACCUACACUUGACUGUAUGAAAUGCGGGAAAUCUUGGGCCAGUCGAGCAGUUGCUUCUUUUAAUUUAGAACACAACAGUAAAAUUUGGACUGGCUUCCCUACUGUCGAUAGAUACUUCAGGUUCCCACAACGGUGAGCAGAUAGAUCAUCGACACAUGUAAGGUCCCAUCAUCACUCUGGUAAGACCCUUCUGAAUCAAGUGCCAUUGUUGAUAGUAAUGAUCCAAGUAUUGGAACAACAAUAUUCUUCUUGAGCUUGCUUGAAUCUGAUUUAAAAAUAACUUAUCAGCAGACAGAAAAUAUAAAUUCUGAAGGACGCAAUGCCAUUCGCUUUCGUUAAAGGAAAUGCUAACCUAUUGGGCACUCUCCAUGAACAAACUUGCAGAGAGCAGUAGGACGAGGAAACCAGUUGAGAUCUUCAUCUCUCUGUCUCAUUGCAGCCUAUGAACUACCAGGUAUUUAAAACACGUGACAAUGUCCCGACCAAAAAAACAGAAAAACGUAUGAGUGUGGACUUGUAACCUCAUGCUGCCUGCACAAUGAUCCUUAUUACAUGGGGAUGCUUAGUGUACGUCAAUCAAUGGAUAAUGCAAUGUUCAUACUAGAGCAAUUUGGUCAAGCCAACGUAUUUUCUAGUCAAAGCAUUUCAAACAAUGUUCCUGUUAGGGUUAUGUGCUGUGAUACAACUCGAAGUAUUGGACAAAAGUGAUUAAGUUGAGGACAAUAUAGAUACAUACUAGUAUGUAGCCUACACUGAUUCACUGCACAACAGAUCCCACACCCAUUUUUAGCCCACCAAGUUUUGAACAUGGGAUGAAUGAGAGUUUGUAGCUACCUAGCAUGGUGCAGUCAUGGAACCUGCAUUUGUGGAAUCUGAACAUCUGGAAAUCACUCUAGGUGUACUAUGGUAUGAUGAAAUCGUACAAAACCCAUGCUGCAGUCAUGGAACCUCCAUUUCCAAACGUUGUGUUAGUUGACACGACACAGCACAAAACCCAUGCUGCAGACCAAAAAAAAGUAAUCAUAAACCAACUGUUCUUACAUUUGUAUUCAUAACAUGAUAAAAAAUCAAAUAGAACAAGGAAAUUUGAACAUACUCUAGAUCAAGAGAACCCGCUGUGCCCAUGACUGAUGUCACCACACAAGUCCCAUUAUCACUGGAAAAAACCAUGGACAUACUGAAAUCUGCUAUUUCCACAUCCAAGUUUUCGUUGCGCUGGGAUUGCCUCCUCUCUUAAUGCAAUUCUCUUACUGGAUUCCCUUCUUAAAUAGGCUGAAAUACAAAUCCAAUUCAUCUGUGAUUAACGUAUUUUACAUAACUUGACGUGCUUUUAUUCGAGGAUGAAAGAUGGAAGAAAGAAGUUACAUAUUAACUAAACAGAUUACCUUCCAUAAAAUUGGUCUAAUAAAACUGUGUUAGUUUGGUGAACAGAUUACCCUGUACAAAAGUGUAUCUGCACCAUAACAAUCAAAUGGACCUAAGACAAGAGAACAGAACAAAUCGUUAAUGACUGUUUCGGGAAAGAAACCUACACUUGACUGUUGGAAAUGUGAGAAAGGUUGCAUUUUCUUUAAAUUUAGAACACCACAGAAAAAAUUGUACUGGCUUCCCCACUGCUGUAGAUGCUUCAGAUUCCCAACAGCUGUGAAAAGAUAGAUCGUCCACACACGAAAGGUUCUGUCAUCACUCUGGCAAGAGCCUUUUGAAUCAUCGAGUGACAAUGAUUCCGAUUCUGACUAAUAUCCCGUUUACUGCAGAAAACUAGAGUGAGUGAACAAUAUUGGACAAAAUAUACAUGAUAAUUGAUUGGAAAUAAAAAUAAGGGCUCAAAAAAUAAAAAUUACCUCGGAUAACUGGAAUGUGAGAAAUCUUUGGCCAUUCUGGGCCGUCCUUGGUGCAUCUUUCCUUGAGACGGGGACACCUUUGGAUCUCUAGCUUAUGUAAUUUGGUUAGGCAUUGCAUAGCUUCGACCGUAGGCAGAUACAUCAGAUUCUCACACCAGGAAAUUUCCAACUCUGUAAGAGAUGUAAGGUUGCCCAACCAUUCUGGAAGAGCCUCCACACCAUCGAAAGCAGAAAUGGACAAAGAUGUUAGAGAAGUAGAGUGUUGAAUUGGCCGAGGCAGAGACUUGAGCUUAGGCCACCUGUACAAUGCUAAUUCUUCCAGUUUCGAUGGGACCUGAAAAUCUGGGAAAGAAUCGAGCUCUUUGCAGAAUAAAUCGAGCUCCUUCCAGUUUUGGUGUGAUACAAGUCAGAGAGACAAUCCGAAGUAUUGGACAAAAGUGAUUAAGUCGAGGAAAUAUAGAUACAAACUAGUAUUUAGCGUACACUGAUUCACUGCACAACAGAUCCCACACCCAUUUUUAACCCACCAAGUUAUGAACAUGGUAUGAAUGAGAGAGUUUGUAGCUACCUAGCAUGGUGCUGUCAUGGAACCUGCAUUUGUGGAAUCUGAACAUCUGGAAAUCACUCUAGGUGAACUAUGGAAUGGUGAAAUCGUAACACAAGUUUCUUCAUUCAAGCCAGUUUCUUCAUUUGAGCCUUGAGUUCUUUCUGGAUGCCUGGACACCUUCAUUUCCAAACAUUGUGUUAGUUGACAUGACACAGCACAAAACCCAUGCUGCAGACCAAAAAAAGUAUUCAUAAACCACUCACUGUUCAUACAUUUGUAUUCAUAACAUGAUAAAAAAAAUCUAAUAGAACAAGGAAAUUUGAAAAUACUAUAGGUCAAGAUAACCCACUGUGCCCAUGACUGAUGUCACCACACGAGUCCCAUUAUCACUGGAAAAAACCAUGGACAUACUGAAAUCUGCUAUUUUCGCGUCCAAGUUUUCAUUGCUCUGGGAUUGCUCUCCUGUCUAACUGCAAUUCUCUUACUGGAUUCCCUUCUUAAGUGAGCUGAAAUACUAAACCAAUUUAUCUGUGAUUAACGUAUUCUAGAUAACUCGACAUGAUUUUAUUCAAGGAUGAAAGAUUGAAGAAAAAAGUUACAUAUUGACUAAACAGAUUACCUUCCACAAAAUUGGUCUCAUAAAACUGUGUUAGUUGAGAGAACCUGCACAGAGUGAGAAGAAACACAGCCUUCUACAAAAGUGUAUCUGCACCAUAACAACCAUGCACAACAAGCCUUAGAACAUAUUCGAAUGCACGUUGAAUGUCGUAAGUUAUACAGAAUGGCCACAGACUUGCAAACACUUGCAAUUUUACUUCUAAUUAGUAAUUACUAAAAGCUUAAUUUCCACAAAAGCCUAAAGUCCUACAACAACAACAACAACAACAAAGCCUUUUCCCACUAAGUGGGGUCGGCUAUAUGAAUCCUAGAACGCCAUUGCGCUCGGUUUUGUGUCAUGUCCUCCGUUAGAUCCAAGUACUCCAAGUCUUUUCUUAGAGUCUCUUCCAAAGUUUUCCUAGGUCUUCCUCUACCCCUUCGGCCCUGAACCUCUGUCCCGUAGUCACAUCUUCGAACUGGAGCGUCAGUCGGCCUUCUUUGCACAUGUCCAAAUCACCGGAGCCGAUUUUCUCUCAUCUUUCCUACAAUUCCGGCUACUCCUACUUUACCUCGGAUAUCCUCAUUCCCAAUCUUAUCCUUUCUCGUGUGCCCAUACAUCCCACGAAGCAUCCUCAUCUCCGCUACACCCAUUUUGUGUACGUGUUGAUGCUUCACCGCCCAACAUUCUGUGCCAUACAACAUCACUGGCCUUAUUGCCGUCCUAUAAAAUUUUCCCUUGAGCUUCAGUGGCCUACGACGGUCACACAACACGCCGGAUGCAUUCUUACACUUCAUCCAUCCAGCUCGUAUUCUAUGGUUGAGAUCUCCAUCUAAUUCUCCGUUCUCUUGCAAGAUAGAUCCUAGGUAGCGAAAACGGUCGCUUUUUGUGAUCUUCGCUAGAUUGCUCCGGUCAUUAGUGUGGAUAAGUAUAUAAAUGGAUAGAGAUAGGAAAGCAAACACAAGAUGUACGGGGUUCACCCAGAUUGGCUACGUCCACGGAAUAGAAGAGUUCUCAUUAAUUGUGAAGGGUUUACACAAGUACAUAGGUUCAAGCUCUCCUUUAGUGAGUACAAGUGAAUGAUUUAGUACAAAUGACAUUAGGAAAUAUUGUGGGAGAAUGAUCUCGUAAUCACGAAACUUCUAAGUAUCGGAGUGUGGUGUCGUCUUGACUUGCCUUAUCUGUCUCAUAGGUAGAUGUGGCAUCUUCUCUGGAAGUACUCUUCCUCUAUCCAAGGGUGGUAUCUUUAACUGGUGGAGAUGCACAAGGUAAUGUAUCAAUUUCACUUGAAGCUUACUUGUAGUUUCAGGCUUGGUCAAGCGCGAUACAAACCAUGUAGUACGAGUCCCCCAAGUCGCCGAGCUAGGGGGUCUGCUGAAAGAGGUGACAGACAAGGUAAGCAAUCAGAGCUCCGACUGAUUGUUCACCUUCUCCCCAUCUUGCAGCAGCAUGAAGGAUAAAGAGAAGAAAAAUGAGAAGAGAUGAUAUGAGAUACUUUUGCUUUUGAAGAAGUAACUUUCCACAGGCUUAUUCUUGAAUUGAGCUGGAGGGUUUUCUGGUUUCCUCCAGAGUAUAAGGCCGACUGAAGAAUUUGAGGGUCAAAACAAGUCCAUCAAAUCUAGAGUACAUUCCACCCUGCUGAUAUGGGAUGCUUUUGCUUUUGACAGAGUAAUGGAUGUAUCGGCACGUGUGCUGUUACGCUUGUCUCCACAUGCUUCCUUGUAUCCUUCGCACUUGCCCUAUCUGUUCCUCAAGUAGAUGCGGAAUCUUCCCUGGAAACAUAAGAUGUUGAAGAUGAGUACUCGAGAGCAAUGCCAGGUAAGUAAUCAGGUAAGGGGUUCCAGGCAGUCAGUUCCUGGCUGGAAGCUUGAUUCCAAGUGCUGACUGAUUGCUCUCUUUCUCCUUGUCUUGCAGGUAAAAACAAGGCCAAAGGAAAAGACAGGGAAAAAGCAUGAUAUGGGAUACUCUUGCUUUUAACCCUGAUGAUAUGAGAUAUUCUUGCUCUAGUAUAGCUUGUUUGCAUAGGUAUUAUCGGGGGGAAGGAAAGCUGAAUAUUUCGAAAGGCUUCGUUGGGAGUGCCCUCUCAGAUAUGAUGAAGGGUUGAGCAUUUUUGCAGGUCUGCCUGUCUGUUGGGGAUGGAGGUCGACAUAUAUAGGAGUCUCCCUAAGAAGUAGUAAUGUUAUUCCUUUACCCUGCUUGGUCAUAGCACGGUAGUGGGAGCGGCCAGUUUCACAUGUUUUAACUCUGUCAGAGCACUUUGAGAAAGUGGUCUGUGGUAUCUGGCUCUCGAGAUUCGGAGAACGAUGCCUCUUCGAUUUUUGAGAAAGCAAUCAUGCUAGGGGUCUGGCUCUCGAGAUUCGGAGAGCGGUGUCUCUUCGAUUUUUGAGAAAGUAAUCAUGUUGGGAGUUUGGCUCUCGAGAUUCGGAGGGCGGCGCCUCUUCGAUUUUGGAGCAAGCAAUCUUGUUGGGAGUGUUGUCUCGAAUGUGAGUAAAGGUUGGGCAUGUUUGUUAGUCUACCUUGCCACGAAGCACAAAGGUUGACACACAGGGAUUUUCCAAUUAUCCAGCAAUGGUACUGUUCCUUUACCCUCUCUUCGAUUUUGAGAAAGUAGUCAUGUUGGGAGUCUGGCUCUCGAGAUUCGGAGGACGGUGUCUCUUCGAUUUUGGAGCAAGCAAUCUUGUUGGGAGUGUUUUCUCGAAUGUGAGUAAAGGUUGGGCAUGUUUGCUAGUCUACCUUGCCACGAAGCACAUAGGUUGACAAACAGGGACUUUCCAAUUAUCCAGCAGUGGUACUGUUCCUUUAUCCUUGUGGGUAAUAAUAUGGUAAUAAUAUGGUAGCUAGACCUUCAAAAUUUAUGUGUCUAAACUUUGUUAGUGCUACUUCUUUGCUAUUCUUUUACCUUUCUUGGUCAGAGCGAUGUAGUGGGAGCUGCAAGCUUCACGUGCUCAACUUUGGCAGAGAACUUUGGCAAAGUUAUCUGUGGUACCCAUGAGCUAUUGUUGCGUGUGGGAAGUGGGUGAUUGAACAGUAAGAUUCAUGUGCUUUCUACUUCACCAGAAGUCUUCGACAGAAUGCCCAUAAUUUCUGCAAAGCUGAGUGUGCGUGUGACAGGUGCUGACAAGGCUAGAAAAGUAGGUGCCUCUUCGAUUUCUGAGAUCGGCCCUCGUGGUCUCUAAGCAGCCCAGCUUUUGAGAAAGCGAGCGCCUCUUCGAUUGAUUCGGAGAACGAUGCCUCAUCGAUUUUUGAGAAAGCAAUCAUGCUGGGGGUCUGGCUCUCGAAGAUUCGGGGAGCAGUGUCUCUUCGAUUUUUGAGAAAGUAAUCAUGUUGGGAGUCUGGCUCUCGAGAUUCGGAGGGCGGUGCCUCUUCGAUUUUGGAGCAAGCAAUCUUGUUGAGAGUGUUUUCUCGAAUGUGAGUAAAGGUUGGGCAUGUUUGCUAGUCUACCUUGCCACGAAGCACAGAGGUUGACACACAGGGACUUUCCAAUUAUCCAGCAGUGGUACUAUUCUUUUACCCUCUCUUCGAUUUUUAAGAAAGUAGUCAUGUUGGGAGUCUGGCUCUCGAGAUUCGGAGGACGGUGCCUCUUCGAUUUUGGAGCAAGCAAUCUUAUUGGGAGUGUUUUCUCGAAUGUGAGUAAAGGUUGGGCAUGUUUGCUAGUCUACUUUGCCACGAAGCACAGAGGUUGACACACAGGGACUUUCCAAUUAUCCAGCAGUGGUACUAUUCCUUGACCCUUGUGGGUAAUAAUAUGGUAGCUAGACCUUCAAAAUUUAUGGGUCUAAACUUUGUUAGUGCUGUUUCUUUGCUAUUCUUUUGCCUUUCUUGGUCAGAGCGAUGUAGUGGGAGCUGCAAGCUUCACGUGCUCUACUUUGGCAGAGAACUUUGGCAAAGUUAUCUGUGGUACCCAUGAGCUAUUGUUGCGUGUGGGAAGUGGGUGAUUGAACAGUAAGAUUCAUGUGCUUUCUACUUCACCAGAAGUCUUCGACAGAAUGCCCAUAAUUUCUGCAAAGCUGAGUGUGCGUGUGACAGGUGCUGACAAGGCUAGAAAAGUAGGUGCCUCUUCGAUUUCUGAGAUCGGCCCUCAUGGUCUCUAAGCAGCCCAGCUUUUGAGAAAGCGAGCGCCUCUUCGAUUGAUUCGGAGAACGAUGCCUCAUCGAUUUUUGAGAAAGCAAUCAUGCUAGGGGUCUGGCUCUCGAAGAUUCGGGGAGCAGUGUCUCUUCGAUUUUUGAGAAAGUAAUCAUGUUGGGAGUCUGGCUCUCGAGAUUCGGAGGGCGGUGCCUCUUCGAUUUUGGAGCAAGCAAUCUUGUUGAGAGUGUUUUCUCGAAUGUGAGUAAAGGUUGGGCAUGUUUGCUAGUCUACCUUGCCACGAAGCACAGAGGUUGACACACAGGGACUUUCCAAUUAUCCAGCAAUGGUACUGUUCCUUUACCCUCUCUUCGAUUUUUAAGAAAGUAGUCAUGUUGGGAGUCUGGCUCUCGAGAUUCGGAGGACGGUGCCUCUUCGAUUUUGGAGCAAGCAAUUUUAUUGGGAGUGUUUUCUCGAAUGUGAGUAAAGGUUGGGCAUGUUUGCUAGUCUACCUUGCCACGAAGCACAAAGGUUGACACACAGGGACUUUCCAAUUAUCCAGCAGUGGUACUAUUCCUUUACCCUUGUGGGUAAUAAUAUGGUAGCUAGACCUUCAAAAUUUAUGGGUCUAAACUUUGUUAGUGCUGUUUCUUUGCUAUUCUUUUACCCUUCUUGGUCAGAGCGAUGUAGUGGGAGCUGCAAGCUUCACGUGCUCAACUUUGGCAGAGAACUUUGGCAAAGUUAUCUGUGGUACCCAUGAGCUAUUGUUGCGUGUGGGAAGUGGGUGAUUGAACAGUAAGAUUCAUGUGUUUUCUACUUCCCCAGAAGUCUUCGACAGAAUGCCCAUAAUUUCCGCAAAGCUGAGUGUGCGUGUGAUAGGUGCUGACAAGGUUGGAAAAGUAGGUGCCUCUUCGAUUUCUGAGAUCGGCCCUCGUGGUCUCUGGGGAGCCCAGCUUUUGAGAAAGCGAGCGCCUCUUCGAUUUCUGAGAUCAGCCUUCGAGGUCUUUGAGCAGCCCAACUUUUGAGAAAGCAAACGCUUAUUCGAUUUCUGAGAUCAACCCUCGUGAUCUCUAAGCAGCCCAGCUUUUGAGAAAGCAAACGCCUCUUCGAUUUCUGAGCAGGCGCCUCUUCGAUUUCUGAAGCUCCGUCGAGUGCAGAUUUUUAUAGGGGCUGGCAUUAAGUUCCAAAGCACACUUGAAUCUCCACCAGUAGAAGCUUCAUUCUUGCACUUCUAAGAUCUUGAUUUGUCCGACCUCUUCUCUCUUCAACACCUUUGAAAAUGUCUGGCCCCUCCGACCGUCAUUUUGACUUGAACCUUGUUCAAGAGGCAGCCCCGCCUUCUCCAGACAACAUAUGGCGCCCAUCCUUCGUCUCCCCUACUGGUCCUCUUACCGUUGGGGAUUCCGUGAUGAAGAAUGAUGACCGCUGCGGUGGUGGCCAGGAACCUUCUCACUCCCAAAGAUAACAGACUACUUUCCAAACGGUCUGAUGAGUUAGCUGUUAAGGAUUCGCUGGCUCUCAGUGUUCAGUGUGCAGGUUAUGUGUCUAAUAUGGCCCAACGCCUAUUUGCUCGAACCCGCCAAGUUGAAUCAUUGGCGGCUGAAGUGAUGAGUCUCAAACAGGAGAUUAGAGGGCUCAAGCAUGAGAAUAAACAGUUGCACCGGCUCGCACAUGACUAUGCUACAAACAUGAAGAGGAAGCUUGACCAGAUGAAGGAAACUGAUGGUCAGGUUUUACUUGAUCAUCAGAGAUUUGUGGGUUUGUUCCAAAGGCAUUUAUUGCCUUCGUCUUCUGGGGCUGUACCGCGUAAUGAAGCUCCAAAUGAUCAACCUCUGAUGCCUCCUCCUUCUAGGGUUCUGUCCAGUACUGAGGCUCCAAAUGAUCCCCAUCCGGUGCCUGCUCUUUCUGGGGCUCUACCGACUGCUGAGACUUCUCCUAAGCAACCUUUGUGAAAGCUCCCUCUUGUGUGUUUAUUUUGACUCAUGUAUAUGUACAUAUUUAUAGUUUAUCGGAGAUAUCAAUAAAUAAGCUUUCCUUCAUUUCAACGUAUUGUGUUAAAUACACCAAAGCCUUCUUCGCUAAGUUCUUUGAAUUUUCUUUUGUUGAAGCUUGUAUGUUGAAGCUUUCUGAGUGGAGCAUGUAGGUUGGGGUAGUGUUCCCUUAAUUUUCCGAGUGAGGAAAACUUCUCGGUUGGAGACUUGGAAAAUCCAAGUCACUGAGUGGGAUCGGCUAUAUGAAUCUUAGAACGCCAUUGUGUUGGAUCCUGUGUCAUGUCCUUCGUUAGAUCCAAGUACUCUAAGUCUUUUCUUAGAGUCUCUUCCAAAGUUUUCCUAGGUCUUCCUCUACCCCUUCGGCCCUGAACCUCUGUCCCAUAGUCGCAUCUUCUAAUCGGAGCAUCAGUAGGCCUUCUGUGCACAUGUCCAAACCACCGUAACCGAUUUUCUCUCAUCUUUCCUUCAAUUUCGGCUACUCCUACUUUACCCCGGAUAUCCUCAUUCCUAAUCUUAUCCUUUCUCGUGUGCCCACACAUCCAACGAAGCAUCCUCAUCUCCGCUACACCCAUUUUGUGUACGUGUUGAUGUUUCACCGCCCAACAUUCUGUGCCAUACAGCAUCGCCGGCCUUAUUGUCGUCCUAUAAAAUUUUCCCUUGAGCUUCAGUGGCAUACGGCGGUCACAUAACACGCCGGAUGCACUCUUCCACUUCAUCCAUCCAGCUUGUAUUCUAUGGUUGAGAUCUCCAUCUAAUUCUCUGUUCUUUUGCAAGAUAGAUCCUAGGUAACGAAAACGGUCGCUCUUUGGUAUUUCUUGAUCUCCGAUCCUCACCCCUAACUCGUUUUGGCCUCCAUUUGCACUGAACUUGCACUCCAUAUAUUCUGUCUUUGAUCGGCUUAGGCGAAGACCUUUAGAUUCCAACACUUCUCUCCAAAGGUUAAGCUUUGCAUUUACCCCUUCCUGAGUUUCAUCUAUCAACACUAUAUCGUCUGCGAACAGCAUACACCAAGGAAUAUCAUCUUGAAUAUGUCCUGUUAACUCAUCCAUUACCAACGCAAAAAGGUAAGGACUUAAGGAUGAGCCUUGAUGUAAUCCUACAGUUAUGGGAAAGCUUUCGGUUUGUCCUUCAUGAGUUCUUACGGCAGUCUUUGCUCCUUCAUACAUAUCCUUUAUAGCUUGGAUAUAUGCUACUCGUACUCCUUUCUUCUCUAAAAUCCUCCAAAUAAUGUCUCUUGGGACCCUAUCAUACGCUUUUUCCAAAUCUAUAAAGACCAUGUGUAAAUCCUUUUUCCCAUCUCUAUAUCUUUCCAUCAAUCUUCGUAAGAGAUAGAUUGCCUCCAUGGUUGAGCGCCCUGGCAUGAACCCGAAUUGGUUGUCCGAAAUCCGUGUCUCUUGCCUCAAUCUAUGCUCAAUGACUCUCUCCCAGAGCUUCAUUGUAUGACUCAUUAGCUUAAUACCCUUAUAGUUCAUGCAAUUUUGUACGUCGCCCUUAUUCUUGUAGAUAGGCACCAAAGUGCUCGUUCGCCACUCAUUUGACAUCUUCUUCGUUUUCAAAAUCCUAUUGAAAAGGUCAGUGAGCCAUGUUAUACCUGUCUCUCCCAAAAGUUUCCACACUUCGAUUGGUAUAUCGUCUGGGCCUAUUGUUUUUUUAUGCUUCAUCUUCUUCAAAGCUACAACCACUUCUUCCUUCCGGAUUCGACGAUAAAAAGAGUAGUUUCUACACUCUUCUGAGUUACUCAACUCCCCUAAAGAAGCACUCAUUUCAUGUCCUUCAUUGAAGAGAUUAUGAAAAUAACCUCUCCAUCUGUCUUUAACCGCGUUCUCUGUAGCAAGAACCUUUCCAUCCUCAUCCUUGAUGCACCUCACUUGGUUUAGGUCCCUUGUCUUCUUUUCCCUUGCUCUAGAUAGUUUAUAGAUAUCCAACUCUCCUUCUUUGGUAUCUAGUCGUUUAUACAUAUCGUCGUAAGCCGCUAACUUAGCUUCUCUGACAGCUUUCUUCGCCUCUUGCUUCGCUUUUCUAUACCUUUCACCAUUUUCAUCGGUCAUCUCCUUGUAUAAGGCUUUACAACAUUCCUUCUUAGCCUUCACCUUUGUUUGUACCUCCUCAUUCCACCACCAAGAUUCCUUUUGGUGUGGGGCAAAGCCCUUGGACUCUCCUAAUACCUCUUUUGCUACUUUUCGGAUACAACUAGCCAUGGAAUCCCACAUUUGGCUAGCUUCCCCCUCUCUAUCCCACACACAUUGGGUGAUUACCUUCUCUUUGAAAAAUGGCUUGUUUUUCUUCUUUUAGAUUCCACCAUCUAGUCCUUGGGCACUUCCAAGUCUUGUUCUUUUGUCUUACUCUUUUGAUAUGUACAUCCAUCACCAACAAGCGAUGUUGAUUAGCCACGCUCUCUCCUGGUAUAACUUUGCAAUCCUUACAAGUUAUACGAUCCCCUUUCCUCAUUAGAAGAAAAUCUAUUUGUGUUUUUGACGACCCACUCUUGUAGGUGAUCACAUGUUCUUCUCUCUUCUUAAAGAAGGUGUUGGCUAAGAAGAGAUCAUAUGCCAUUGCAAAAUCCAAGAUAGCUUCCCCAUCCUCGUUUCUCUCCCCAAAACCAUGGCCACCAUGAAAACCUCCAUAGUUGCCUGUCUCCCUGCCCACGUGUCCAUUUAAAUCUCCUCCUAUAAAUAACUUCUCCGUCUGAGCAAUUCCUUGCACCAAGUCUCCAAGAUCUUCCCAAAAUUUCUCCUUCGAACUCGUAUCCAACCCUACUUGAGGUGCGUACGCACUAAUCACAUUGAUAAGUUCUUGUCCUAUUACAAUCUUGAUUGCCAUGAUUCUAUCUCCUACCCUCUUGACAUCUACAACAUCUUGUACCAAGGUCUUGUCCACGAUGAUGCCAACACCGUUUCUCGUUCUAUUUGUGCCCGAAUACCAAAGUUUAAACCCUGAGUUUUCUAGAUCCUUUGCCUUACUACCAACCCACUUAGUUUCUUGUAGGCACAUAAUAUUUAUCCUUCUCCUCACCAUCCUUACUACCAACCCACUUAGUUUCUUGUAGGCACAUAAUAUUUAUCCUUCUCCUCACCAUAACUUCCACUACUUCCAUAGAUUUUCCCGUUAAGGUUCCUAUAUUCCACGUUCCUAAACGCAUUUUGCUCUCUUGAACUCUACCCUUCUGUCCUAGCUUCUUCAGGGUCUGGGAGAGGUGAAUGUCGGCUAGCCUUACCCCCAUUUUAUGGAGAGCCUGCUCCCAAGUCUCGAACCCGAGACCUACCGCUCAUGGGCGAAGGCACUUGCCAUCGCACCAAGUGCGACCAGAGUGAGUAAACAAUAUUGAACCAAAUACACAUGAAUAAUUGAUUGGAGAUAAAAAUAAAAAUUACCUCUGAUAUCUGGAAUAUGAUAAAUCUUUGGCCAUUCUGGGCCACUGUUCUUGGCGCAUCUUUCUGCCAGACGUUGGUGAUUGGUAUUUAGUCUUUGGUUACUAUUAUCUUUAGUAAAUGGAGUAGACUUGUACUUGAAAGUUGAUGACCAAAUUGACAACUGCCUCCUCUUCAUUUGGCUGCAAUGAAAUCCUAACUAGCUACCCAGCAAAUGGUGUUGUCAUGGAACCUGCAUUUGUGGAAUAUGAACAUCUGGAAUUCACUCAAGGUGAAUUAUGGUAUGGUGAAAUCGUAACAUGAGUUUCUUCAUUUGAGCCUGGAGUUCCUUCUCGAUGCCUAGACACCUCCAUUUCCAGAAAUUGUGUUAGUUGGCACAUCACAAAACUCAUGGUGGCUCUAUGUUGGGAGGUAUGCAAAGCUGCCUCUGAUGCUUUCCAGACCGAAUUCACAUUGAACUCUCCUCGAAGCCCUUGAUCCAAAAUAGUUGUUCAAUUCCCGUUCUGGAACUCAAGAUUCACCUACUCCACUAUGUGGACAAGAUCAUCAUUUUCUAUGAUUGCAGGUUGGCUAGUAAAACCCUAAACAUCAAUUUUUUUUUUCCUUCAACCUUGCUAAUUAUAGUAUCUGCAGACCAAAUAAAGUAAUCAUAGAUCACUCACUGCUCAUAGAAUUCACAUUGAACUCUCCUCGAAGCCUUUGAUCCUAAAUAGUUGUUCAAUUCCCGUUCUGGAACUCAAGAUUCACCCGCUCCACUAUGUGGACAAGAUCAUCAUUUUCUAUGAUUGCAGGUUGGCCAGUAAAACCCUAAACAUCAAUUUUUUUUUCCUUCAACCUUGCUAAUUAUAGUAUCUGCAGACCAAAUAAAGUAAUCAAAGAUCACUCACUGCUCAUAGAUUUUUUUUUUUUUUUAACAUGAUCAAAAUUCUAAGAACAGUAGAACACGAAAUCUGAACAUGCUCGGAAUCAAGAUACCUUGCUGUGCCCAUGAACGAUGCCACCAGAGUCUCAUUGUCACUGGGAAAAACCAUGGACAGACCAAAAUCUGCUAUUUUGCAUCCAAGUUUUAAUUCAGGAGAAUGUUGGCAGUCUUUACAUCUCUAUGCACAAUACUGGAUUGUGAAUAUAUAGUAGCACAAAAAAUAACACUAAGCACCUAUCUAACGCAAUAUCUAAUGCCAUCCAAAGUCUCAUUUCCCAAGUUUAUGUGAGCUCCUAUCUGCUUCUGCAACCAUUAACGUGACACUUCAAUAUUUUGAAACCCUCUGUUGGAGGACAAUGCUAUGUAAAAUAUAGAAUUACAUACCUGAUCAGAGAUAUUCUUUUAGGUUUUCAUUAGGCAUGUACUUGUAUAUAAGUGCCAACUUGUCAGUAUCACACAGUAUCCAAUAAACGAGGCCAAGUUUCUAUGAUGGAUUCUCAUCGGGAGCUCAACCUGCAGCCACAAGGAACUCAUCAAUCUCUAACCAAAGAGACAAGGCAUUUAACUUGCAUCCAAGGAAUUAAAUUCAAACUGUCAAACCUCUGUUUGGAACUCCCUAGCUGAGCUAGCUCCUUGAGAUGACGAUGUAGAACCACAACUUGAGUGCCAUAUUUCAACUAGCCAUGGUAUACAAUCCCAAAUCCUCCUUUCCCGAUUUCCGUUUUAAAGAUUUCGGUGAUUUCUAAAACCUCGUCAUAAGUGAACUAGGACUUCUGAUGCUACAGGAGUUUUGUUACGUGUUUCUCCAUCUGCAGCUCAAGUAGACAAAAAGAUAUGAGUUCAGACUAACUGGUUAGGAAUACCACUACACCAUAGUAGGAGCGCCGGUUCUAAUUGAAUUAAGUAUCAAAAAGAUAUGAGUUCAGACUAACUGGUUAGGAAUACCACAACACCAUUUGCUUUGGUUAAAGAAAAUGCUAACCUAUUCGGUGCUCUCCAUGAAUGAAACUUGCACAGAGCAGUAGGACAAGGAAAUCAAUUGAGAUCAUCUUCUCUCUUUGUCUCACUGCAGCCUAUGAACUACCUGGUAUUUAUUAUGCGUGACAAUGUUCUGACCAAAAAAGCAGAAAAACGUAUAUGACAGUGUGGAUUUGUACCUUAUGCUGCACAACUUUACAUGAAAUCAUUCUAGGUGAAAUCGUAAUAUGAGUUUCUUCAUUUUAGACUGGAGUUCUUUGUUGAUGCGUAGACACCUCUAUUCCAUACAUUGUGUUAGUUGGCACAGCACAAAACCCAUGGUGGCUCUAUGUUGGCAGGUGAUAGUUGUGCAUGCCAUUGCUGUCUCUAAAGCUUUCCAGACUGAAUUCACAUCGAACUCUCCUCGAAUCAUUCGAUACAAAAUAGUUGUUAAAUCCCAUUCUGGAACUCAGGGUUCACCCACUGCACUAUGUGGACAAAAUCAUCACUUUCUAUGAUUGCAGGUUGGCCAGUAAAACAGUAAAAAUCAAUUUUUUUAAUGCAACCCUUGAUAACUAUAGUACCUGCAGACCAAAAAAUGUAAUCACAAAUAAACCACUCACUGUUCAUACAUUUGUGUUUAUAACAUGAUAAAAAAUCUAAUAGCACAUGGAAAUUUGAACAUACUCUUGAUCAAGAUAACCUGCUCUGCCCAUGACCGAUGUCACCACACAAGUCUCAUUAUCACUGGAAAAAAAACCAUGGACAGACCGAAAUCUGCUAUUUUGUGCAUCUAAGUUUCCGUUAUGCUGUGCUUGCUCUCCCCUCCUAAUGCAAUUCUCUUACUGGAAUCCCUUCUUAAGUGAGCUGAAAUACAAAUCCAAUUUUAUCUGUGAUUAAUGUAUUCUAGAUAACUUGACAUGGUUUCAUUCAAGGAUGAAUGCUUUGAACAAAGAAGUUACAUAUUGACAAAACAGAUUACCUUCCAUAAAAUUGGUCUAAUAAAACUCUGUGAGUUGAGAGGACGUGCACACAGUGAGAAGAAGCACAACCUUGUACAAAAGUGCAUCUGCACCAUAACAAGUAAAAACCAUGCGCAACAUGCCUUAGAACAUAUUUGCAAACCAAAUGGAACUAAGACAAGAGAAGAGAACAAAUCAUGAAUUACAGUUUCGGGAAAGAAACCUACACUUGACUGUGGGAAAUGCGAGAAAUCUUGGGCUUGUUUGAAUUUAGAACGCAAUAGUAAAAUUUGGAUUGGCUUCCCUACUGCAGAUAGAUAGUUGAGAUUCCCACAACGGUGAAUAGAUAGAUGGUGGAUUCAUGAAAGGUUCCGUCAUCACUCUGGUAAGAGCCUUUUCAAUCAUCAAGUGACAAUCAUC
rnacentral:lncRNA from 1 species